CCACCACGCUGAAGAUGGCCUCUAUCGCCGCUUGCAUCCUGCUGGUCCUGCUGUCCAAUGGCCACCCUACCGCGGCGGCCGUUGAUUGUAUUGCGGCUUGCAAAGAACCGUGCCAGGGUUUUUCUAACGGGCUCUGCGCGGGUGGAGCCACCAGCGGUUGUACGACUACGGCAGCAGCUACAGCAUGCCGCAAUUUGGCGUUCUCGCAGUGUGCGAACACCUGCUUCACAGUUUGCACUGCUGUGAGCAUCGCGCCUUGCACUUGAAGAUGCAUUCGUGUUCCUACUUCCACAUUAUUGUUACUGCAGAAUAAUAUGGGUCAGUGCACACAAGCAUACAUGAUGAGCCACUGUCGUUUUUCCAUUUUGUCAUUUAUUUAUUGAAGGCAAUGUACGUUUUUCCAUUUGAUCAUUUACUUAUUGAAGGCAAUGUACGUGUCUAUCUCCUGUGUGGUUGAGCAUGUCAUCUUGGAAUUCUGUCCAAAGUUUUACAUACCACCUUGUAUUGUUGUGUGUGGGUAUCAAUAUAAUUUAUGAACUAUCUUCCUUUACCAUAGACAUAUCUAUGUUUAUUUGCAAGCGUUAGCUAAAUUUUUCCUUGAUUGUGUAUUAACCCAUACUGAACAGAUCAACUUUCCACUGCAAGAAACUAUUUAAUCUGUGACGAAACAAAAUUGUCACGUAUCACUAAAAAAUCGUCAUAAAGCAAUGCCUGUGAUGAUUUCAGAUAACGUCAUGUAUUGAGCAUCACAGAUUAAAUCGAUGACAUGGAGAGGCUUCACCAUAGUAUUUUGUAUCGACGUUAGACCUAUCGUUUAUUUCCGCUGCUUUUGAACUCUGAACACUACUUUUAUGCAUGUGAACUAUCGGCUUGUAAUAACUUAAUGUGGGACCUGUAAUAAUUUAUCUGGAUUGUUGUAAUCUUUGGACUCGUCUUCGUGCGAGUAUACUUUGUUUCGAUCCGAAACACGUGGUUGCAUCGGGUGAAACCCGACAGACUACCAGUUUAAUUCGAUUAAAGUGUCUAUUCACAUUUAAGGCAAUGUUGAAUAUACUUUAGCCGGGUUAACUUGGAUGGUUCUACCACACUGGCGCAUCCCUGAGGAUUCCUAUCUGCUUGCUCGAUGUCAUCUGUAUCUGGCCCUGUGAUAAGGGUGAAGAGUUCAUUGUCUAGAGACAGGCUUCCAGAACUUUGGGUGAUGACUUAUGUAGAGUCAUGAAGCGUGAUUCGUUGUCCUGGGCGAGGGCAGGUAGCCUCAUGCCAGGCCAGUAGAUGAAUCUGCCUUGAGGGGUUGAGGUGAUCACCAGGCCCUGCUGCGAACCUGUUAGUGGAGUCUCCUCGUCGGAAUCCAAGUAGUGAUCGUAGUUGUGGUCCUUAAUCGGACAUGAGUUAGAUUGCAACCCGGAUAAGGCUGCUUGAUAGGUGGAAGCUGCGUUACGGAGUCCGAAUGGGAGUUUGCUCGGAAUUUGACUUGAUUCGGACGAUGCAGAACCCGAUGGGAUAACCUACUGGGGUAUUACGUCAAUAGAUCAACCAAAAGAAUGCGCAAUAAUAUCUACCACCAAAGGCAACCCAAAAGCAUUAUCUACCUUCAGUGCCAGAUCAGUCAUCAACAAAGAUCUAUGGAGACCUUGUUUUCUCUUGCUUUGGAUUUGGAGAUAGCAUAGAACAAAAGCCUUGAACCUAAAUAAACAAAGAAAAAAAGUACUGCAGUGCUAAAAAUAAGAAAUACCUCGUAGAAAAAUACCAGUAAUGGGUUUAUGGGUUCCCACUCAUCCUUGGGUAGCCACUUCUCUAGAGAGAUUCUUGUGUGUUCCGGUGUUGUAGUUUUCUGCGCAUGAUACAUAGCAACAUAAGGGCUAUUCCCCAACCUCAUAAUCGAUAGUAAUGUACAUCUUCUGGAAAGGACCUCUUUCUGUUGCAAGUGUGACUGCCACGCUCAUGCCAUUAAAGAAGUUAGCAGUUCGGUUAGGCAAUUAGUUGCCCACAGGAGGAAAGUAAAGCAACCGUGGAGAGUGAAGAGGCGUCUUUCUAGCUCCAGCACCAAGCACACCACACCAGUCAUCAGCUAAUCUGAUGACAUGGCAGGAAAUUUAAGAGGGGAGAGAAGGAAUUAGUUUCAUCUAGAUGAAAUUCUUCUCGCACAAAACCAACUCUGAAUGUGUCAUGAAAUUAAAUGUACCCCAUGCCGCUUUUUAUGCGCUCUUAUUAAUGUUGCUUUGUCUAAGUUCAAUACACUUAUCAAGACUAUCGCAUUUGGUGACUGGCAGUCCACCUAAGGGUACCAAGAUGGUUGAUUUGUAAACAGAGAGGAUCACAAGACCAUGAACUACUUGAUGGUAAUGCAAGGCACAAGACAUAGAGAUUUAUACAUGUUCGAGCCGUUAGUGUAGCGUAAUACCCUACGUCCUGUUUUGGGGGAUUGUAUUGCGCUCUGCACUUGGGUGUUGGUUGUUAAGUUGAGGGAUUGGCCGUCCUCCUAGGGGUACCCCUACGUACCCUUAUAUACUCCCCUAAUAACUCUUCUUAAUAGGAUAGAUUACCAAGUAGAAUUAAUUAUGCAUGCACGCUUGCAGUAAUUGUCGCACCUAUUAGCCUUCCUUAUUUAGCGAGACUUCCUCGGGCAUCGAUGGUGUGCCGUUUCUAUAGUGAACGGUAAUGAAUGUGGACACUUUUAUGAGUGCUGACAUGAAAGGUUCAAUUUGUAUGAAUGAUCUUCUAUAGGUACACUAACCGCGCUUAGGUUACGUUAACAAAAGGUUAGAGAAUUGACUAGUUAUUAUAGGAAGAGCCGUAAACUGUUGCCUCGCCACCAGCACUAACCCCGUAAGUCCAAGUAAUUGGCAGUUUUUUCAUUUGUGAGGACGCAUAGGUCAUGCAUGCAUCAUGUUAAAAACUUGCAAAUUGGAAAUUGGAACAACUUUCCUAUAGAUGAUUGGGAGGACUAAUGUCACUCUCAAAAAAAAUUUUGCCAAAUCACCUAAGGAUUUUCUAGUUGUCUCGAACUGCAGCUAACUACUGUCAGAAUUUUUUUUCUCCGAGCUCUUAAAUGGUCUUGGUUCCAGAAUUUAGUAAAUGAUAUGCUGUAAAAAUUUCAUAAAUUUUGGUCAAGUGAAACUCGAGUUAUGCUUCAAUAAAUUCCCGGGUUGACUCGUACCCAAAGGAGGAAGUUGCAGAGGUUAAGGCUGCAGGAGAAGAGGGAACAGAAGCUGGAGAAGCGAAGGAAUGAGGCAUUCAACACGAAUAGACCCAUAGUCCCUCAGAAGAAGGAGUGGAGAGUUAAGGCCGAUACUCCCAACUCCACCAGUCAGACCUGCAGAAGGACCGGUCGGACCUAGUGCGGUCGGCACGGUCAGGGCGGUCACUGGCGCAGUCGUCGUGGUUGAUGACUCGGUCGGCGCGGUCGUCGGCGCAGUCAGACCGGUCGAGGGGUCGGCGAGGAGCGGCAGCGGGGUGACAAAGUAACUGCGAGCGCGGCGGGGCGGAGCUUGAGCGGCGGAGGCGGAUGGGAGGGGUGGAGGUGGCGGUGGAUGUGGAGGGGAGGUAGCGGAGGGGGAGGAGGAGGAGGAGGCAGAGGAGGCCGGCGGUGGGCGGAGGAGGUGGAGGAGGGUGAGGAGGAGGAGGAGGCGGAGGGAGGUCAGGGCUGGCGGGGGAAUUUUCUUUUUUUAAGAACGUUUAGCCUUAUUAUCACCUAGCGGAGGCGGAUGGAGUUCCACAACAUGGUGUAUCGGACGGGCAUUUCAUUGAAGUCCCUAGGGGCGUCCAAUGGGUGGCUGUAGUGGGUGUACAUCACGACGAGCGUCUGUAGCCAUUGCGACAGCCUAGAGCACGACAACGAGGCGGAAGACCCCGUCACGGGUGCAGAUGGCCAGCGUUUUUUUAAAAAAAAACUUACAGGUGGCCAGUGUGGUGGGCGUGAUUGGGCUUAUCACCAGUGGCGGAGGAGGCGGACGCACGAAGCGACAGGAAUGGCGCCGAGUUUGGUCGAACCAUCUGGAAACUAGAGUUGUAACGCUUGCACUGGACGGCUGAGAUUUACGAUGCUCGAUAUCUGACAGGCGAAAAAGGGAGAGACUUGGCCCAAUCAUUGCAGAGAAACUUCACCGGAGUUAGGUCUUUAAAGAAGAUUGUAAGGCCUGAUUGGUUUGGGGAUCAAAAUGUAUCAAACCAAAAUCAGGGUAAGCCUAAUAAUUUUGGCAGCUGUGUAUAUUUAGAUGCAUAUAAACAUUUAUAAACCUAAAAAAUUAAAACGACCUGCAAUUAAAAAUGGAGGGGUAAAAAAGAAGGCCCCGACAAACGCGUCAGCACAUUCCUGCCUUUCUCCCCCGAAUGAGUAAACUCCAAUCCAAAAUUUGACUGUAUUUUGUUAACGGUUAUAUAUCAUAAGUUUCAUAACAAUAACCAGCUAGGGCUAAUGAUGAUAUGAAUUUGGCCACAAUUUUUGUUCUUGGGAGGUAUCUGUGAGGUGAGAAAAUGGGCAACAUGUGUGGAAAAUGCUAAUACGCCUACUGUGUGGCAUAUUUUGCGUUGUAUCAUAUACUUUCCGGAACAGUUGUAAUUACCACAUCUUUUUUCCCCAGCGGAGUCGCCAAAAUGUGUUGGCGCCUUUUCCGACCAACACAUGAGUGCGCUAGCUCGCGUGUAGAUUGGAAUUCUCCUCGUUGAAGCUCCUGCACCUGGCCGGUCAGAUCGGUCAGGGGGUCCGAUCGGGCCGGUCCUCGUAGGGGCACCAUGAAAACCUACGUCCACCACCUCGGGAGGGACCCUUUCGGAGAUGGCGAACCUAGGGUUGCUCUGAGAUCGGCAGGCCAAUUUAAACGUUCUCAAACGCCGCCGGGACAAAAGAUGAAAGCAAGUGGGUUGGAAAAGCUAAGGUUUUGAGAUAAAAGGGUAAAAAGAUAUGUUUGACGAUUAGGUGAUGCCCCUCAAUCCAACUUACCAAUAUUGAUACAAGAUAUGCUCAACUUGUGAACUUAACUGAGGUAUAUGCUUCCUAUGUUCGUCCGUUCCAGUAAUUGUCUAAGGCAACGCGAAAUCCAGUUACUGUGGGCUAAUAACAACCUAUCUGUUGGUGUUUCUUGGUGUCUAUGGGUGUGCUUCUGAUUUGCAUGCUUUUUUUGUUUGUUGUGUGAUGAAAUAAGGCACUAUGUACAUCUUUGCUUAUUAUUUCCCACUGAUAUAUGGGUACGGACGUGUAAUCAUUAAUUGUGCUAUUCAUUCAGCUGACGACAGUCAGUUGACAUCACUUGAAAGUAUGCUUGAAUUCGUAAGGUGUCCCGUGCAAGUAGCGUGGCUACAACCGCAGCAAUAUUUUUUUCUGAUCAAAAUCGAUCGUCCUUUUUUGUUGAAAACAUAAGUAUGAUAUACUUCACGUGAUGUUAGACUUGAAAAUUUUUGAGUGCAAUAUAUGAGUAAGUAUUCAAUACUAACAUUUUUUCUCUAAACAUUAACUACCAACAUAGCUUAUCAGAUAAUGCAGCAUUGUUUAUCCGACAUGCAUAACCUCCUAACACUCAGACACUGAGACACACCAUCCAUUACCGUCACUGAAUCUAUGUCAGCGUGCUGAGCCAGGGUUAGGAACCUCCACUAACUCGUUAGAGGCAAACCCAAGAUCUAGACUGCUUCUGCUUAAUUCCAUCACUAGCUUAAUCCACUAUGAAAUGUAAAUGCACAACACUCUUAGCAAUUCGCUCAUAAGAUUCUUGAAUUUGGCAAAUUUUUGGUGCAAUCUUCACUGCGAGAAAAACGACCUUUUGUCCAACAUAUUAGUACCGGCCACAUUUCAACCCGUACUAAUACCAACAUUAGUAUCGGAUCCAAUUUAGUAGCCACCGGAGACCUUUUAGUACCAGGUCAUAACACCACCCAAUACUAAAAUGUUGAAGAUAGGUUGCCAAUGGUGAGGUGGAGCGUGGGGUCGAUGACGGUAAUAGCGGCGGGGAACUUCAACCCCCAGCCGAAGGGGCCAUGGCAGGUGGCAGGGAGAGGUUGAGGCUGUAGAGGAGAGGGUGUUUGAGCUUUGGGGGUGGCGAUUUGGAUUUGUUGAAGGAUAGCGGUGGGAUUUGCUGCUCAUUGUGGUUCAGGUGGAGGAACAAAGUAGAAAGAAAGAGACGAAAAUGUGGCCAACACUUUCAAGGAAAAGCAUGAGGUGACAUGGAGGAAUGCAUGAGCGAGGGUGUGGAUAGGCAACCCUUGAAAUGGAUUUCCAAGGACGGAUCACGGGAUGAACCAUCCCUGGAAAUGGGGCUAUUUUUAGGAGCGGAGGGAAACAUGGCCUGCAUCUAUAAAUAAGUAUUUUUAGGGGUAGGUCUUGUUUCUGUUCGUUCUAGGAAAUGUACAUUUCUAGGGGUACCCCACCCCAUAAUUGUAACACCUGGUUUUAAAACAAAACCAAGUGUUACCUAUAUGUAUGCCAGGAUCUAGUUUCAUAUAUAUAGUGAUAUCAUCAGUGAAUAAUAGUAACAAUAUCACGUAAAAAAAUAUAAAUAAUGACUUACGAGUCUAUCAGAGAUAUACAACUUAAUCAUGGAAAUCAAGGCUCCAAACUUCACAAGCAAUCGACUGUGGGUUGCGUACAUCUAGAACUCAGCAUCAUCUUGAGAAAACAUCACACACCUUCUUCUGAGCAGCAGUAAGUAAGGGUGAGUACACUUAUGGUUGGUACUCAGCAAAACCAUAUUGUGCCAAUCAUGCACUCAUCACACUACCGAGGUGUGACUACAUAGGGACACUACAAGAUCUUUACAAAGAUUCCCUAAUAAGUGGUAACCCGCUAAGGUUUCAUGUCGAAGUAGAGCAUAAACCUCUCUCAAGAUUGCGAAGCUAACAUAGAGCAGAUCAGACUGAGGGUCGGGUUACACCUCAUCAACGCCUCCCCUCUUGUCCUUUCGGUAAGAUUACCUCAAGCUGGAGUCUCUAAUUAAUUAGCCAAGACCAGAGCCAUAUAGUCCUUGUAGUUGCACUAUUUUCCUGGGUGGUUCUUCAUGUUCCAAUUAAUGCAUGGUAUUCUUGUAAAAUAAGAAUAGAUAGAAGGAUGGUUAAGGACACCUACCUUUAUCCAACGAAAAGUUACUCUUACUGCUCUUUAGCUCUUGCUCUCUUGAAACUCUUAAUCUUCAAAUCUUUUGAACAACUAUCCUUCUAUUUGAAGAAAUCAUCGGCACAAACAUAUAAGCAAACAAAAAAAGUACAAUUAAGAACAAUACACCAAAACAAAAAAAAUCUUGAAAAGAGUAUAAAGGAUAUGGCUCAAUUCUAAGAUCGCGAGGAUGUAAGAAACGCUUAAAACCAAACUAAGGUUGAAAAGACAAAGCUAUUGAGAGAUUUGAAUUAUAAAAGAAAAAGAAAAGCCUACGUGCUUCAUAUAUUUUAAUAAAGAAAACAAUGUAAAGAUAUUUUAGAGAAAAAUCCUUAUCAAGUUAUAUUUAUAUAUGAAAAGAUCAAGGUAGAACUUCGUCAAAUUUUUAUUUAUAAACAUUAAAGUACAAUUUAGGCAAAUUAAACAUUUAAUUUGAAAAUAAAGUAAGAGCCGCAAGACUCAAGGAACAAGCUAAACCAUUCAGUGGAUCUUCGGGGGUCUAGAUGCAAAAAGCUCAGAACUUUCUUCCUCAUGGCCGACGGUAGCUUGUACAGCCAAAUCACUGGCGCUACGGCGGCUGGGGUCUCCGGCGGACGGCACAGGAGGUGGAGGAGGUCCAGGGGAUCUAGUGGAGGCUCUUACCGGUGGCGGAGGUGAAGGGGGGCGGCCGAAAUUCGGAGGCGAUAAUGACCGCAGCGGUGGCUCGAGCUCCGCGCGGUGGCAACGCUCCGGUGAUGGAGGGGCGUCGAGGGCUGGCGUCAGUUCUUCAUCUUGGUGCAGGGACACUCCAGGUGGCAUCAGCAUGCUCCAGUUCGAACGUCAACCGCGACGAAACGGGCGGCCAACUCCUACGGCACUUCGGCUCUAGCGAUCGAUGGCGCACGGCGCUGCGCGAGCAGGCGAGGUGAGGCGCGAGGGAGGAAGAAGGGAUGAUGCGGAGCCUCAAGCUUGCUAUUUAUAGGGGCGUGGGAGGUGUGCCUUGGAGUGGCACGCACGAUGAGGAAACGACGGCAGUGGCGCAGUCCGCUUGGUGGCCGGGCUUAGAAGGGCCAAGCUGGGCCAACUAGUGGCGGACGGGUCAGAGCGGGCUGAUGCGAGUCAAGCCCAUAGCCUCGGCCCAAACUGAUAGGAUAGGUUUUUUUAUUAUUUUUAGAAAAUAAUUUCCCGUGGAAGGAAAAUCCAGAUAAAUCAAGAUAAUUCAAUAAAAGCUACAAAAAAUACUCUAAAAAUUCCCAAAAAUUUUAGGAAAAAUCCUAGUCGUAGAUUGGGACAUGAGGAAUCCAAAUAAAAUACUUGGAGCCCAUGAAAAAGGAAUUAGAGCCUUCUACUAAAUAGAUUUAUUUCUAGGAAAAUGAGAAUAAAUACCAGAAAGAUCUGGAAAAUUCUCAGGAGAAUUUGGUCGUCGUCUAAAUGCAUUUUUGAAACUUUUUCACUCAUGAAAUACUAUAAUGCAUCGGCAGGAAUGCAAAACACGUAGAAACAUUUUAUUUCUUUCAAAAUCAAUGAAUUGUUUUUCCUAUACUACAUUUCCUGUCAAAAAAAUAAAUGUUGAAAUUUUUUUAAAAUUAUGAGAAAAUCAUUGUUUAAUUAUUAUUUUUAUUUAAUCACAUCCUAAAAUCUAAAAAUUUCAGGGUGUGAAUAAUCCACCCCUAUAAAUCCAUUUUUAGAGGUGGAUGAAUUGCUACAGUAACACCUAUUUUUUGGUUGGGGGGCUUCUCAUCCAGCCAAAAAAAUCAAGUGGCACCUAAAAAUCAUUUUUUAGUAGUGAUCGUACACGCGCUUCACUGCCAUGAACGCCGCCAUGCAUACCGCUCAACCAGCCGCCGGCGCCAUAGAUGGUGGCAUUCCGGUUCUUUCCCCAGUGUGGCAGGCCGCCGUACUUGCCCAUUGCCAUCUGCAUCUUGAUCUCGUCCACGACCUCCAAGUUUUGCACUGCACUAUGGACAAAAUAGUGCCCAUUAUCGUGCAGGGUUUUCCAUGUGAAUUGGCCCAAGGUACAUUCAACUUAUUUUGGCUGGCUUGGUCCCACAGUUUGAACCCAGAUUUUGGAUCUUUCCGCAUUUAAAUUGGUGCUGCUGCUGCAUUUAUUUGAUAAUGGUGCAAGAUAUGGAACCAUACAACAAAGGUAACUCAUCAUUAAUUUAGAAGGGUGCACAGAUUCAUGUAAUAAAUAAUCUACACCACCUAAGAUGUGUCUCUACCUCUAUAUAAACAAGAGCAAUCAAAGCAAUAUGUGCAUACUGGAACAAAAUAUCUACAGGCAUACCAAUAGUGUUCCUUUUCAUAUGGCAGUGAUCAAGAGCAGCGCAGUGAGGUCCAUGUGUGCUGCACUUUGCAUUCUUUUGAUAAUGUCUUCAGCACUCUCAGAGCUGGUGGAAGUUGUGUAUCUAACUGCUUUUCUACUUCCCAUGGUUUCAUUAUAUUCGUGGGGUUUACUAGGUGCGAUGUGGAUUUCAUGCACAUGAUCACGCUGAGUGUGACCCUAUGGACUGAUGCACUGAUCCGAAAUGCGAGGAUGAAUGUCAGAACAAAAAUACUGACCUACCUAUUGAACCUGAGUGCACCACACCUAAGGAGUGUUGCUGCACAUUUUAUCGGGAGGAAGAUAAUUCACUUCUUUGAAUAGAUUAAAAUGGUUGCCGAUGGCUAGAUUCAUUUCAUGGAUGCAGCCGAUACCAGAAUAGUACGCUUGCAUGUAAUGCAUCCAUAAUAUGUUUCUACCCAAAUCUAAUAAAAUAAAUGUGUCCCAUUUGUCCUCUUUUCCUCUAGUGUUUUUUUUACUCCCAAAUUCCAUGCUAAUAAAUGCUGCAUACAUGAUUUUAUUUUAAAAACAUUUCUGAAUACAUUUAAUUUGAUAAGUUCAAACACCGAGUGAGUCUUCUAUCUAUUGUAGGCUUAUGUUUAGUGAAGUGUGCCGGGCCUACUACUUCGGUGUUGGGCUGAGCCCACAUGAGAGCAGCUCCAGCGUUGCUCUUUUGAGGGUGCUCCAAGGAGAGAGAAAAAUAUUCUCCGGCAGCUUCACGCUGGAUCAGAGGGUGCUAGGGAGGUGCUAGGGAGCAGCUGAUGAUGAGUUUUGCACCAGGCGCUACGCAUUCAAUAUAUUUUCUGAAGUAACGUGGUUGGAUGGAUAGGUGAGAUAGUGGGAAGAAAAGCUAGAUCAAUGAUUCUUUAUUCAGCUGGAUCAAUGAUUUCUGAGAUGAGGUACUCAGCAGAUUGAACCGCCACAAGUGCCCUUCUCUUCUUAUCAGCCCGGUGUGCCUUGGUAUUGUCUUCCUGAAUAAUGGCCUUAUUAACCAGAUUACUAGAGCUGUCGUAGUAACAACCAAACGAACUGCAGCUUAGUACCGAGGCCCCUUCUCAAGCAAGCCUACUUUUUAGCAUGACAACUGGCGUACCGAGCAAGUUGAUUAACACUAUUAGCAUAUUGGAACACAGUUUGAUUUCUUUGUUUAAGUGACAUGACCUCUGACGGUUUUCUUUAGGCUGUGGAAAACGGCUCGUACCAACUCUGCCCGUUGAGAUGACCACACCCUGUUUCCAUUACCCCGUUAGGAAUGGAAACACAAACCAUUAUCUUGUACCCUAUCUUAACUCUGAAGUCUUCUUGGAAUAAUUUUCCGAUAACGGAAGUUUUAUUGAUUUAAUAAAUGUUACAUCACGGUGAUAUAAUUAACUUGAAAUCCUCCCAGCAUGUGCAAGCACAGAGCCUUACAGGCAGAAACAAAUGCAGAUGCGCUAAUGACCAUCAAUCCGAGGACUCCGCCACCCAUGCACUUAGGUAAAAAAAUUCCUCGACCACUUUCACCAAGCACUGAGAUGAGAUGCCGCUGCAACGGAAACAUAUGCCGUAGACUUUUGGAGCAUAGCCCAUGUACGAAGCUAGUGGAUAACUCUAAAGAUAACCUGCAUUGGAUGAGAUAAGGGUUUGUUUUCAAAUACCAUAGCAUUCUUGCAGAGCAACAAUAACAACAUAGUAGCAAUCACCCCAAGUAAAUAAUGCCCGUCAACCAAGUGCCGAAAAUAUUUUCUAGGCUAAGGGGCUUGAGAAAGACUUCAGUUGCAAACAUAUCCGUAUUAUCCUCACUGAAUGGUCAUAAGUGUUUCCCUUCCGUUGCCGACACAAGACCAUCCGACGGCGAAGGGUGACUAACGCCACUAGCUGGUAAACUAAGUAUGCUGGAACUUGUCCACUAAGGUUAGAGUCUAGCUAACUCAGCAUGGGUGCCCAUAUUUCUUAAUUAUGUUUCCGUUGGUUGAUAACAUACCCAUCGGCAUCCUAUCGUCAUGACUUAAUGAAUCCCAAUAUCUUCUAGACUAACGUUUACUUACAUGAGUAGGGUGUGUAUGCAUGUGUGGUUAACAGGUAUUUACUUUAAGGUCGGCUGGGCCGGCUUUCUCGAUGUGUCUAAUUAUGCUUAAGAAAAAGAAUCACUAGUGGAAAACUGAGUUUUAGUCCCGGUUGCAGACACGCAUAGAUGUCAAAAAUCCAACCGGAACUAAUCAUUCGGACUGUAAUAAUAAAAUUUGUUUGAAAUUAAAUACAUUGCAUUUAAAUUUUCAUGGGCAUUUAAACCUUUUUCAAAAUAAAUUAAUGAAUCAUAGGAGUUCGUUGUUGCAUUCACGAUGGUGCAUUAUUUUUGGUUGCUUGAAUUCAAAUUUGUGUUUGAAUUCAUCUGUUUGACUCUUUUAAACAAAUAGGAAACCCCUUUUCUUUUCCCUCCCUUUUCUUUUCUUCCUUUCAGCCUGUUUCUUUCUUUGGGCCCACUUCCUUCUCUUUCGCCCAGCAGCAAAACUGAAUAUGCACUUUGAAGAUAAACAUGCGAACCAUCAAAGGGCAGCAGACAACUUACAUACGCGACGGAGCGUUCUAAAUGGCAGAGUAGCCUUGCUGCCACGAUCCACUAAGAUCCAGCCCCACGUCGCAUGAAUUCCUCCCUCCCCCCUCCACCCCCGACAACGGCUUCAGGCUUGGACCCGCUACGACGACCAAGGACAAAUGCGCUCAAGGCUUGGGAAGAAAUUAACUUCCAUUGUCGGAACACUUGUUAAGGAUUACAAGAGACCAUAUCGCAAGUUUAUCUUCUUAGGUAUGGUCCACAAUGGAAGAGAGAUCUCCUAACUUGACCAAGCGGAUGUACACACUAUCAUUUGGCACGAAUCAGGCCAAGUCAGAUAGGUGCUAGUGGAGUUCCAUAUUCCACUACGUCCGGUAUGUAACUCAUAAUCGACCACCGGGGAGGGACAUGUGUGGGAUGGAUCGAAGACAAGACAAUGGCCAACACACGCAUGGACAUACCGGCCACAGGGUACCAUUACGUGUUUGUUGGACCCAACACAUGAAAAUAGCUGCGUUGGCCAUGAAAAUGUUUCCUAUAGGUCACACCUAGUGGCAUCAAAACCAUUUAGUGCCACUAACUGGUUGUGAUGAUUGAUGUCACAAACGGUUCUUUGUGCGUAGCGAGUUUAUAGCUGUAAUUCAAUUGAACCUGUUCUAGUACCUUGAACAACUAGUUCUUGAUGAGUAGCCAGGAGUGACGUUCCAUUUGUAACUAUUUAUUCUCUAUUAGUCUAAUGUUGUGAUAAAUGAUUUGCGUUGUCAGUUUAUGCACUUUGGCAGCCUGGAUGUAUGUCUUUUGAAGUAUGUGUAACUUUCUCUAGAAUUGAGGAACUUUAAUUGACUAAGUGGUCUUGGAUUUACAGCAUCAACCACUAUAAUUAGCCAUUGCUCCAAUGGCCCAUUUUUUCCGUUAAUGCUAUAUGAUCCGACACCAAUAUGUGUACAAACAUAAGAGCAUCUGACGAGUAUCAUUUUACGGUGAAGACAUUGGAUCCCCACUCGCACUAACACAUUGCAAAUGCGAAAAGCAGGACCGGGUCUCCCCCCUGCAAUAAAUGCCAUUUUAACUGGUCCUAUAAACUGUUUUCUAGUGGUGUGAUGUAGUCUGUUGGAAUCAGCACCGUGGAACCAUCUGACAUUCAUACAUUAGCUUCACCAAACAAAUAUUCUUCUGUGCAUUAAAGCUUCAUACUUCAACAUGUACAAGUUCUCUAUGUAGGAUAUUUCAGCUAGAAGAUCUUCCCUUUCUUGAACUAGCCAUUUGAGCAUUAUUCAUUCUCAGGCCCAUUGUUCCAACGGCUUGCACGUUCUUGGAAUGUGUUAUCAUGGAAUGCUAGGGGUAUCGAUUCGUAGACAAGAUGGAAUGUCGUCAAGAGCAAAAUAUCUGAAUCCAACUGUGAUAUUGCCUGUUUACAAGACACCAAAAGGGAGUUUUUUUAUGCUAGAUAUAUUAGGAACUUCUAUCUCCCACAGUUAGAUUCUUUCGAUUUCCUCCCAUCUAUUGGCAACUCAGGGGGAACUAUUAUAGUGUGGAAUGGUUCCAAAUUCAAGGGGGAACCUAUCUUUCAAAAUCUUUAUGCCCACUUUGUAGAUUUUCAGUGCAAGCUAUCAGGGGAACGUUGGAUCCUCACGAAUAUCUACGCCCCAUGUACUCCGGAGGGGAAGCUAUCCUUUAUUGACUGGUUCAAAAGGGUUGAAAUACCAGAGGAAAAAAAUUGGCUAAUAGUUGGGGACUUCAACCUUCUUAGGAAGCCGGAUGACAGAAACAAUCCGGGGGAAACAAUCCGGGAGGAAAUGUUCAGGAAAUGCUUCUCUUCAAUGAAGCUAUUAGCAGGCUUAGGCUCACAAAAAUUCAGCUCAAAGGAUGCAAGUACACUUGGUCCAACAAACAGCAGAAUCCUCUUCUGGAGAGGCACGAUUGGUUCUUCAUAUCUAACCCUUGGACCAUCUCCUAUCCCAAUACUUAUGCCUCAUCGCUGUCCAGUGACUCCUCAUAUCAUGUUCCUUGUGUAGGCUCGAUCUCUAAUAGCAUUCCACAGCCACAAGUUUUUAGAUUUGAGAAUUAUUGGCUAGAACAUGAUCGGUUCCCAACCAUUCUCCAACAAGGUCGGGCAACUCCACUUCUAGGCACAGAUAGGGCAAAGAACAUCGGGGCCAAGUUCAAAAACCUGAGGAAGGUUUUCAGGAUCUAGAAAGCAUAGCUCCCCAGUUUGGCGAAAGCAAUCCAGAGCACCAAAGACACCAUUCAACUCCUUGACAUCAUCGAAGAACUUAGAGAUCUUACCCUGCAAGAAUGGAACUUUAGAGAAGUCAUCACAUCACAUCUGAAUAGCUUGCUCCACCAACAAAAAGUCUAUUGGCAGCAAAGAAGCUCCAUCAAUUGGGCCAAAAUGGGGGAUGAAUGUACAAAAUUCUGCCAUGCAAGGGCCUCAGUCAGAAAUAGAAUCAAUUAUAUCACUUCUUUAGUUGAUGCCAAUGGACAAAUUGUCUCUAAACAUGAAGCUAAAGCCAGGAUUCUUUGGGAAGCUUAUAAGGAAAGGAUGGGGAGAUUUGAAUUUACUCACAUGUACUUUGAUCUUUCUACUAUCUUGACAUCAGAUCCAAAUUUGGAAUGGCUAGAAUCUCCCUUUAUGAAAGCAGAGAUCGACACAAUUACAGGGGAACUUCCAAGUAACAAGUCCCAAGGCCUAGAUGGCUUGAAUGGAGAGUUUCUCAAGAGAUGUUGGGACUUGAUAGCUGAAGAUUUUUAUAGACUGUCUGAAGGUUUUCUUGACAUAAGUGUGUGUGUUCAGAGCAUUAAUGCUUCAUACAUCACACUAAUCCCCAUGAAAGACUGUCCCUCUCAAGUGGGAGACUUCACGCCAAUCUCCCUCCUAAACUCAACGAGCUAAUAACUAAAAUUCUAGCAGAAAGGCUACAACAGGUUAUCUUAAGACUAGUGUAUAAAAAUCAGUAUGGUUUCAUAAAGUCUAGAUCCAUACAAGACUGUUUAGCAUGGGCUUUUGAAUAUCUUCACAUCUGUAAAGCCUCAAAGAGAGAAUUAAUCAUCAGCAAGCUGGACUUUGAAAAAGCCUUUGAUAGGAUUGAGCACCAAGCCAUUUUGGAUAUCUUAAAACAUAAGGGCUUUGGGGACAGAUGGAUUGGGUGGAUAAAGGACAUUCUCAACACUAGAACAUCUUCAGUACUCCUCAAUGGUGUGCCAGGGAAAGUCUUUCAUUGCAGAAGAGGUGUCAGACAGGGGGAUCCUCUAUCCCCACUUCUAUUUGUGCUAGCACCGGACCUUUUUCAGUCAAUCCUAAAUAAAGCCAAAGAGGAAGGAAGCUUACACCUACCGAUCCCUGAAAGAGCUGGACCUGACUUCCCAGUUAUACAAUAUGCAGAUGACACCCUUCUGGUCAUGGAAGCAGAUCCUUCCCUGUUGUUGCAUCUCAAGCAUCUGCUUAAUCAGUUUGCGGAGUCAACUGGUCUUAAAGUAAACUACAACAAGACUGUUAUGGUACCUCUGAACACUUCUGAGGAUAAACUCCGACAACUUUCGUCAAUGUUCGAUUGCCAUGUCGGAAGCUUGCCACUCACCUACUUGGUGCUACCACUUGGUGCAACAAAGCCUAACAUUGAGGAAUUCCUUCCAUUAAUACAGAAGGUGGAGCGAAGAUUGGGAGGCAUCUCUAACAUGUUAUCUCAAGGGGGCAAACUCGAACAGGUAAAUUCAGUCUUUUCUUCCUCACCAAUGUUUCAUAUGGCAACCUUAAAGCUUCACAAGGGGGUUAUCACACAAUUAGAUAAAUAUAGGAAACACUAUCUCUGCAGAGGAUCUAAUUUGAAUUCUAGGAAACCCUCCAAGGCAGCUUGGCCUAUGGUGUGCCUACCAAAACAGCAAGGAGGACUUGGGGUUAUUAACCUGAACAGUCAAAAUGAUGCCCUUCUUCUCAAGUUCCUACACAAGUUCUUCACCAGAGCUGAUACUCCCUGGGUUCAUUUAUUCUAGGAUAAUUAUUAUUCUAAUGGGAAACUGCCUGGACAGCACAAAAAGGGCUCAUUCUGGUGGAGAGAUUUAGUCAAGCUACUGGACAAAUACGAAGGAAUAGUGUCGGCAUGGGUAUCGGAUGGCUCUACUGUAUUGUUCUGCAUGGACACAUGGAUUGAGCAGGUCCUCUACCUGGAAUUCCCCCAGUUAUUCUCUUAUGCCAAAAACAAACUGGUAUCAUAUAAGGAGGCUACAAGCAGAAUAUCACUGUCUCAAAAUUUUCACCUGCCACUCUCAGAAGAAGCUCAUCAGCAGUUGCUGAUUCUGCAGAAUAGAUUGAGGAAUACUGUGAGAGCUCAAGGCAGAGAUCAGUGGACUUACAUUUGGGGAAGCCCCCGCUUUUCGGUAGCAAAAACUUAUAAAGUCAUAACAGGCACAAGAACCAUACAUCCAAUUCAUAGAUGGAUAUGGAAAUCUAAAUGCCAAAAGAAGCACAAGAUAUUUUUCUAGCUAUUAAUUAAAUUCAGACUGAGCACCAAAGACAUUCUAAGCAGAAAAACAAUGUAUUUGGAUACUUAUGCUUAUGUGCUUUGCAUCCUCCAGAAAAAGGAGACAAUGCCGCACUUAUUCUUGAGAUGCAACUUCUCGAAAGCUUGUUGGAGCACUUCCUCCAGGCCACCCUUUCGGAUUUUUAACUCAAUCAAGGAUAAACUGAACGUUCCCUUCUACAUGGAGAUCAUUAUUUUAAUGGCCCGGAGCAUUUGGUCCGUGAGGAAUGACUGGACCUUCAACAAUGUCCCCCCUCGGUACAGAGCUGCAAAAGGAAAUUCAUGGAAAAAAUGAAUACCGUCUGUCUACAUAGAGCGAAAUCUUCCCUAGCUCUUGCCAUGAUGGAAUGGUUGUAAUCUUUUCUUUCUUUUUUCUUCCUUUGUUGUUGCCUUUUCUACCUUCUACUUCUGUUGUUUCUUGGACUCGCCUUUCAUUUAAUAUAUUUCAGUAGGAGCUUGCCCCUCCCGUUCCUUCAAAAAAAAAACUUCGAGCACUUCUCCAUGGGCUUCAUCACCAUAGUUUCGAUUUGGGCAAUUUCAUUGCACCGAACCUUCCAGCUUGCAUUUUCUUAACUGAAUCUCGAGCAUGGGGCAAUAUUCUGGCAUCUACAACGGACCUGCCAUCAAGCAUUCCAAUGUAUAGAUCUAUCCUGUUUGUUUGCCUAAUAUUCGGAUGCAAUACUCCGCCGUGUGUAAAAAAAUCCAAGGCCAACGGACCAUACCGUGUUAACAAUUUUAGUGCCUAAUCCAAUACAAAAUUAGUUCCAGUUUGUACGGCUACUCAUUCAUUGCAGUCUUCAGACCAAAUCUACGGUGACAUAUUUUUGGAAAUAAGCUUGUCGAAAUCACUAUAUUGUAAUUCAAUCACCAAAAUCUGAACUAUGGUCUGAUGGAGCCAAUUCUCCGUGGGCUUUAUUACCAAAGUUUCACCUUAGGCAAUUUCAUUUCACCUAACCUUCCAGCUUGCAUUUUCUUAACUGAAUGUUAAGCACGGUGCAAUACUCUGGCAUGUGCAACUGACCUGCCACCAAGCACUGCGAUGCAUGGUUCUAUCCUCUUUGGUUGCCUAAUAUUCUGUAAAAAAAAUAUUCAAGGCCAACAGACCAUACCGUGUUAAAAAUUUUAGUGCCCAAUCCGAUACAAAAUCAGUUCCAGCAAUGACGGCUAUUCAUCCAUUGCAGUGUUUGGAACACCUCCACAGUGACUAUAUUGUAAUUCAAUCACCAAAAUCCGAAACUAUGGUCUAGUGAAGCUAUAUUGUGUACGAAAUAUUAAUUCAUGGGAUUUGUCAACGAUUUUAUGAAGCUGUAUAUAUGAUACCUUCCACUACGGGAUUUGUGUACAAAAUAUUAAUUCAUGAGAUUUGUCCAUGAUUUUAGGAAGCUAUGAUAUCUUCAACUACCGGAUUGCGUAUAUAAGAUAAUCUUCACCAGUUAUCACAGGAGGAAGCACGCAUUAAAUAAUAAAUAACUAAUGCUGAUUCAACUCUGAGAUGAAAAGGAUUCCGUUCUCAAAAAUCGAAAAAAAGGUAACGUGCUCAUAACAAUGUCGACUCUUCACAUCUGAGAAGCUUAUAAGUGAACUACCUACCGUAUGUUAUUAAAACAUUUUUGCUGCCUAUAAAUUGGGCAUCAUUUCAGCAGACCACCACGGCACCUGAGCUUGCCAUCUUUUCCUGCUCAUCAUAUGUCCCGUAGCUACUAGCUACUAGCUAAGCCAUCUUUUCCUGCUCAUCAUAUGUCCCGUAGCUACUAGCUACUAGCUAAGCCAUCUUUUCCUGCUCACUCAUUUGUCCCGUAGCUACUAGCUAAGCCACCAUAUCAUCCAUGGCUUCUGGUGCCUCCACCACGCUGAAGAUGGCCUCUAUCGCCGCUUGCAUCCUGCUGGUCCUGCUGUCCAAUGGCCACCCUACCGCGGCAGCCGUUGAUUGUAUUGCGGCUUGCAAAGAACCGUGCCAGGGUUUUUCUAACGGGCUCUGCGCGGGUGGAGCCACCAGCGGUUGUACGACUACGGCAGCAGCUACAGCAUGCCGCAAUUUGGCGUUCUCGCAGUGUGCGAACACCUGCUUCACAGUUUGCACUGCUGUGAGCAUCGCGCCUUGCACUUGAAGAUGCAUUCGUGUUCCUACUUCCACAUUAUUGUUACUGCAGAAUAAUAUGGGUCAGUGCACACAAGCAUACAUGAUGAGCCACUGUCGUUUUUCCAUUUUGUCAUUUAUUUAUUGAAGGCAAUGUACGUUUUUCCAUUUGAUCAUUUACUUAUUGAAGGCAAUGUACGUGUCUAUCUCCUGUGUGGUUGAGCAUGUCAUCUUGGAAUUCUGUCCAAAGUUUUACAUACCACCUUGUAUUGUUGUGUGUGGGUAUCAAUAUAAUUUAUGAACUAUCUUCCUUUAUCAUAGACAUAUCAACUUUCCACUGCAAGAAACUAUUUAAUCUGUGACGAAACAAAAUUGUCACAUAUCACUAAAAAAUCGUCAUAAAGCAAUGCCCGUGAUGAUUUCAGAUAACGUCAUGUAUUGAGCGUCACAGAUUAAAUCGAUCGACGUUUUCUUCGAAAUCGUCACAGAUCAACACAAUCUAUGAUGUUUUUUACCUGUCACAAAACACCCUUAGGCCCGUGCAGCAGCCCAGGCCUAGUGUUUGUGACGAAAAUAAACAUCACAGAUGGUUGCCACGUGGCUGGUGAUGUGGUUGAUGACGUGGACGAGGACAUGGCUAGUGACGUCAUUGAUGAUGUGGCCAGUGACGUCGAUGACAUGGAGAGGCUUCACCAUAGUAUUUUGUAUCGCCGUUAGACCUAUCGUUUAUUUCCGCUGCUUUUGAACUCUGAACGCUACUUUUAUGCAUGUGAACUAUAGGCUUGUAAUAACUUAAUGUGGGACCUGUAAUAAUUUAUCUGGAUUGUUGUAAUCUUUGGACUCGUCUUCGUGCGAGUAUACUUUGUUUCGAUCCGAAACACAUGGUUGCAUCGGGUGAAACCCGACAGACUACCAAUUUAAUUCGAUUAAAGUGUCUAUUCACAUUUAAGGCUAUGUUGAAUAUACUUUAGCCGGGUUAACUUGGAUGGUUCUACCACACUGGCGCAUCCCUGAGGAUUCCUAUCUGCUUGCUCGAUGUCAUCUGUAUCUGGCCCUGUGAUAAGGGCGAAGAGUUCAUUGUCUAGAGAGAGGCUUCCAGAACUUUGGGUGAUGACUUAUUUAGAGUCAUUGUCUUCAUGGAUAGAAGACAAAGGUGAUCCCUCCUAGUACGGAAGAACGUUGAGAUGGGCCAUGAAGUGUGAUUCGUUGUCCUGGGCGAGGGUAGGUAGCCUCAUGCCAGGCUAGUAGAUGAAUCUGCCUUGAGGGGUUGAGGUGAUCACCAGGCCCUGCUGCGAACCUGUUAGUGGAGUCUCCUCGUCGGAAUCCAAGUAGUGAUCGUAGUUGUGGUCCUUAAUCGGACAUGAGUUAGAUUGCAACCCGGAUAAGGCUGCUUGAUAGGUGGAAGCUGCGUUACAGAGUCCGAAUGGGAGUUGGCUCGGAAUUUGACUUGAUUCGCACGAUGCAGAACCUGACAAGAUAACCUGCUGGGGUAUUACGUCAAUAGAUCAACCAAAAGAAUGCGCAAUAAUAUCUACCACCAAAGGCAACCCAAAAGCAUUAUCUACCUAUAGUGCCAGAUCAGUCAUCAACAAAGAUCUAUGGAGACCUUGUUUUCUCUUGCUUUGGAUUUGGAGAUAGCAUAGAACAAAAGCCUUGAACCUACAUAAACAAAGAAAAAAAGUACUGCAGUGCUAAAAAUAAGAAAUACCUCGUAGAAAAAUACCAGUAAUGGGUUUAUGGGUUCCCACUCAUCCUUGGGUAGCCACUUCUCUAGAGAGAUUCUUGUGUGUUCCGGUGUUGUAGUUUUCUGCGCAUGAUACAUAGCAACAUAAGGGCUAUUCCCCAACCUCAUAAUUGAUAGUAAUGUACAUCUUCUGGAAAGGACCUCUUUCUGUUGCAAGUGUGACUGCCACGCUCAUGCCAUUAAAGAAGUUAGCAGUUCGGUUAGGCAAUUAGUUGCCCACAGGAGGAAAGUAAAGCAACCGUGGAGAGUGCAGAGGCGUCUUUCUAGCUCCAGCAUCACCAAGCACACCACACCAGUCAUCAGCUAAUCUGAUGACAUGGCAGGAAAUUUAAGAGGGGAGAGAAGGAAUUAGUUUCAUCUAGAUGAAAUUCUUCUCGCAAUAAACCAACUCUGAAUGUGUCAUGAAAUUAAAUGUACCCCAUGCCGCUUUUUGUGCGCUCUUAUUAAUGUCGCUUUGUCUAAGUUCAAUACACUUACCAAGACUAUCGCAUUUGGUGACUGGCACUCCACCUAAGGGUACCCAGAUGGUUGAUUUGUAAACACAGAGGAUCGCAAGACCAUGAACUACUUGAUGGUAAUGCAAGGCACAAGACAUAGAGAUUUAUACAUGUUCGAGCCGUUAGUGUAGCGUAAUACCCUACGUCCUGUUUUGGGGGAUUGUAUUGCGCCCUGCGCUCGGGUGUUGGUUGUUGUGUUGAGGGAUUGGCCGUCCUCCUAGGGGUACCCCUACGUACCCUUAUAUACUCCCCUAAUAACUCUUCUUAAUAGGAUAGAUUACCAAGUAGAAUUAAUUAUGCAUGCACGCUUUCAGUAAUUGUCGCACCUAUUAGCCUUCCUUAUUUAGCGAGACUUCCUCGGGCAUCGAUGGUGUGCCGUUUCUAUAGUGAACGGUAAUGAAUGUGGACACUUUUAUGAGUGCUGACACGAAAGGUUCAAUUUGUAUGAAUGAUCUUCUGUAGGUACACUAACCGCGCUUACGUUACGUUAACAAAAGGUUAGAGAAUUGACUAGUUAUUAUAGGAAGAGCCGAAAACUGUUGCCUCGCCACCAGCACUAACCCCGUAAGUCCAAGUAAUUGGCAGUUCUUUCAUUUGUGAGGACGCAUAGGUCAUGCAUGCAUCAUGUUAAAAACUUGCAAAUUGGAAAUUGGAACAACUUUCCUAUAGAUGAUUGGGAGGACUAAUGUCACUCUCACAAAAAAUUUUGCCAAAUCACCUAAGGAUUUUCUAGUUGUCUCGAACUGCAGCUAACUACUGUCAGAAAUUUUUUUCUCCGAGCUCUUAAAUGGUCUUGGUUCCAGAAUUUAGUAAAUGAUAUGCUGUAAAAAUUUCAUAAAUUUUGGUCAAGUGAAACUCGAGUUAUGCUUGAAUAACUAACCCACUGUUUGCAAACUGCCACUAAGGUUCACAGGUAGCUCUGAAUGUUCGCUUCUCUGUUGAACAUUACUCUGAAACCUAGCAGAAAAGGGUCGAACAGGGACAGCCAGUGCAGCCAAGAAUCCAUGAACUAAGGUCAAUAUCAAGAAGUAUGUCUGAAGCUAGUAGCAGUGGUUCAGGCUCCAAGUACUUCUUGCCAAAAUUGUGUCCUCCCGGGUUGACUCGUACCCAAAGGAGGAAGUUGCAGAGGUUAAGGCUGCAGGAGAAGAGGGAACAGAAGCUGGAGAAGCGAAGGAAUGAGGCAUUCAACACGAAUAGACCCAUAGUCCCUCAGAAGAAGGAGUGGAGAGUUAAGGCCGAUACCCCCAACUCCACCAGUCAGACUUGCAGAAGGACCGGUCGGACCUAGUGCGGUCGGCAUGGUCGGGGCGGUCACUGGCGCAGUCGGCGUGGUUGAUGACUCGGUCGGCGCGGUCGUCGGCGCAGUCAGACCGGUCGAGGGGUCGGCGAGGAGCGACGGCGGGGCAACAAAGUAACCGUGAGCGUGGCGGGGCGGAGCUUGAGCGGCGGAGGCGGAUGGGAGGGGUGGAGGCGGCGGUGGAUGUGGAGGGGAGGUAGCGGAGGGGGAGGAGGAGGAGGAGGCAGAGGAGGCCGGCGGUGGGCGGAGGAGGUGGAGGAGGGUGAGGAGGAGGAGGAGGCAGAGGGAGGUCAGGGCUGGCGGGGGGAUUUUCUUUUUUUAAGAACAUUCAGCCUUAUUAUCACCUAGCGGAGGCGGAUGGAGUUCCACAACAUGGUGUAUCGGACGGGCAUUUCAUUGAAGUCCCUAGGGGCGUCUAAUGGGUGGCUGUAGUGGGUGUACAUCACGACGAGCGUCUGUAGCCAUUGCGACAGCCUAGAGCACGACAACGAGGCGGAAGACCCCGUCAUGGGUGAAGAUGGCCAGCGUUUUUUUAAAAAAACUUACAGGUGGCCAGUGUGGUGGGCAUGAUUGGGCUUAUCACCAGUGGCGGAGGAGGCGGACGCACGAAGCGAUGGGAAUGGCGCCGAGUUUGGUCGAACCAUCUGGAAACCAGAGUUGCAACGCUUGCACUGGACGGCUGAGAUUUACGAUGCUCGAUAUCUGACGGGCGAAAAAGGGAGAGACUUGGCCCAAUCACUGCAGAGAAACUUCACCGGAAAUCAGGGUAAGCCUAAUAAUUUUGGCAGCUGUGUAUAUUUAGAUGCAUAUAAACAUUUAUAAACCUAAAACAUUAAAAUGACCUGCAAUUAAAAAUGGAGGGGUAAAAAAGAAGGCCCCGACAAACGUGUCAGCACAUUCCUGCCUUUCUCCCCCCAAUGAGUAAACUCCAAUCCAAAAUUUGACUGUAUUUUGUUAACGGUUAUAUUUCAUAAGUUUGAUAACAAUACCCAGCUAGGGCUAAUGAUGAUAUGAAAUUGGCCACAAUUUUUGUUCUUGGGAGGUAUCUGUGAGGUGAGAAAAUGGGCAACAUGUGUGGAAAAUGCUAAUACGCCUACCGUGUGGCAUAUUUUGCGUUGUACCACAUACUUACCAAUACUGAUACAAGAUAUGCUCAAUACCCCUCAAUCCAACUUACCAAUACUGAUACAAGAUAUGCUCAACUUGUGAACUUAACUGAGGUAUAUGCUUUCUAUGUUCGUCCGUUCCAGCAAUUGUCUAAGGCAACGCGAAAUCCAGUUACUGUGGGCUAAUAACAACCUAUCUGUUGGUGUUUCUUGGUGUCUAUGGGUGUGCUUCUGAUUUGCAUGCUUUUUUUGUUUGUUGUGUGAUGAAAUAAGGCACUAUGUACAUCUUUGCUUAUUAUUUCCCACUGAUAUAUGGGUACGGACGUGUAAUCAUUAAUUGUGAUAUUCAUUCAGCUGACGACAGUCAGUUGACAUCACUUGAAAGUAUGCUUGAAUUCGUAAGGUGUCCCGUGCAAGUAGCGUGGCUACAACCGCGGCAAUAUUUUUUUCUGAUCAAAAUCGAUCGUCCUUUUUUGUUGAAAAGAUAAGUAUGAUAUACUUCACGUGGUGUUAGACUUGCAAAUUUUUGAGUGCAAUAUAUGAGUAAGUAUUCAAUACUAACAUUUUUUCUCUAAACAUUAACUACCAACAUAGCUUAUCAGAUAAUGCAGCAUUGUUUAUCCGACAUGCAUAACCACCUAACACUCAGACACUGAGACACACCAUCCAUUACCGUCACUGAAUCUAUGUCAGCGCGCUGAGCCAGGGUUAGGAACCUCCACUAACUCGUUAGAGGCAAACCCAAGAUCUAGACUGCUUCUGCUUAAUUCCCUCACUAGCUUAAUCCACUAUGAAAUGUAAAUGCACAACACUCUUAGCAAUUCGCUCAUAAGAUUCUUGAAUUUGGCAAAUUUUUGGUGCAAUCUUCACUGCGAGAAAAACGACCUUUUGUCCAACAUAUUAGUACCGGCCACAUUUCAACCCGGUACUAAUACCAACAUUAGUAUGGGAUCCAAUUUAGUAGCCACCGGAGACCUUUUAGUACCAGGUCAUAACACCACCCAAUACUAAAAUGUUGAAGAUAGGUUGCCAACGAAAAGUUACUCUUACUGCUCUUUAGCUCUUGCUCUCUUGAAACUAUUAAUCUUCUAAUCUUUUGAACAACUAUCCUUCUAUUUGAAGCAAUCAUCGGCACAAACAUAUAAGCAAACAAAAAAAGUACAAUUAAGAACAAUACACCAAAACAAAAAAAAGCUUUAAAAGAGUAUAAAGGAUAUGGCUCAAUUCUAAGAUCGCGAGGAUGUAAGAAACACUUAAAACCAAACUAAGGUUGAAAAGACAAAGCUAUUGAGAGAUUUGAAUUAUAAAAGAAAAAGAAAAGCCUACAUGCUUCAUAUAUUUUAAUAAAGAAAACAAUGUAAAGAUAUUUUAGACAAACAUCCUUAUCAAGUUAUAUUUAUAUAUGAAAAGAUCAAUGUAGAACUUCGUCAAAUUUUUAUUUAUAAACAUUAAAGUACAAUUUAGGAAAAUUAAACAUUUAAUUUGAAAAUAAAGUAUAGGUAAACAUCUAAGCGCAUAACUUUAUGAUUCAGGUUGAACUAACCAAAUAUAAUUAAAAAAACACAUUUCUAUUUAUAUUUGUCAAAAUAAAAUUUAAUAAAUAAAACUUGAGAUAUAACCUAUGUAGCUUUUAUUUAUAAAACAAAAUCAAGACACAUUAAUCAAGUUGAGUUUAAUUGAUGAAAAGCUGAGGUAUAUCUCUAAUUAGCUUUUAGUUGGAAGAGUUGCUUAAAUAAGCAUUAACCAAAUUUACAUUAGUUAUCAAAAUACGAGGUUGAACUUUAAUUAGAUUUUAAUUAGAAAAGCAAGUAUAUAAAUACUUAAUCAUAUUAAUAUUUUAAAUAAAUUAUAAAAUAGGGAACAUGAUUAACAUUGCUUCUAACACAUUGUGUUAAGUUGAUAUGAAUCUAACGCAAUAAGAACGAGGUUAAACGGAGGUAAAACAUGGAAUCUAUGGAUUAAACAAGGUUCUAAGGAUCUAAAUAGAAUUAACUAUAGAUCUCAGGGGCUAGCAGAGAAGAUUCACAAGACAUGGAAAUGUGCUUCAAAAAGGCUGAAAGAUCAAGGUUAGAUUCAUAAAUGGAGCUUGGGUUGGACUAGGUUGUAGGAACCUCAUCUAACCAGGGGGUUCUAUGUAAGAGCCGCAAGACUCAAGGAACAAGCUAAACCAUUAAGUGGACCUUCGAGGGUCUAGAUGCAAAAAGCUCAGAGCUUUCUUCCUCAUGGCCGACGGUAGCUUGUACAGCCAAAUCACUGGCGCUACGGGCGGCUGGGGUCUCCGGCGGACGGCACAGGAGCUGGAGGAGGUCCAGGGGAUCUAGUGGAGGCUCUUACCGGUGGCGGAGGUGAAGGGGGCCGGCCGAAAUUCGGAGGCGACAAUGACCGCAGCGGUGGCUCGGGCUCCGCGUGGUGGCAACGCUCCGGUGAUGGAGGGGCGUCGAGGGCUGGCGUCAGUUCUUCGUCUUGGCGCAGGGACACUCCAGGUGGCAUCAGCAUGCUCCAGUUCGAACGUUAACCGCGACAAAACAGGCGGCCAACUCCUACGGCACUUCGGCUCUGGCGAUCGACGGCGCACGGCGCUGCGUGAGCAGGCAAGGUGAGGCGCAGGGCGAGGGAGGAAGAAGGGACGACGCGGAGCCUCAAGCUUGCUAUUUAUAGGGGCGUGGGAGGUGUGCCUUGGAGUGGCGCGCACGAUGAGGAAACGACGGCAGUGGCGCAGUCCGCUUGGUGGCUGGGCUUAGAAGGGCCAAGCUGGGCCAACUAGCGGCGGACAGGUCUCAGCGGGCUGACGCGAGUCAAGCCCACAGCCUCGGCCCAAACUGAUAGGAUAGGUUUUUUUAUUAUUUUUAGAAAAUAAUUUCCUGUGGAAGGAAAAUCCAGAUAAAUCAAGAUAAUUCAAUAAAACCUACAAAAAAUACUCUAAAAAUGCCCAAAAAUUUCAGAAAAAAUCCUAGUGGUAGAUUGGGACACGAGGAAUCCAAAUAAAAUACUUGGAGCCCAUGAAAAAGGAAUUAGAGCCUUCUACUAAAUAGAUUUAUUUCUAGGAAAAUGAGAAUAAAUACCAGAAAGAUCUAGAAAAUUCUGAGGAGAAUUUGGUCGUCGUCUAAAUGCAUUUUUGAAACUUUUUCACUCAUAAAAUACUAUAAUGCAUCGGCAGGAAUGCAAAACACGUAGAAACAUUUUAUUUCUUUCAAAAUCAAUCAAUUGUUUUCCUAUACUACAUUUCCUGUCAAAAAAAUAAAUGUUGAAAUUUUUUUAAAAUUAUGAGAAAAUCAUUGUUUAAUUAUUAUUUUUAUUUAAUCACAUCCUAAAAUCUAAAAAUUUCAGGGUGUGAAUAAUCCACCCCUAUAAAUCCAUUUUUAGAGGUGGAUGAAUUGCUACAGUAACACCUAUUUUUUGGUUGGGGGGAUUUCUCAUCCAGCCAAAAAAAAUCAAGUGACACCUAAAAAUCAUUUUUUAGUAGUGAUCGUACACGCGCUUCACUGCCAUGAACGCCGCCAUGCAUACCGAUCAACCAGCCGUCGGCGCCAUAGAUGGUGGCAUUCCGGUUCUUUCCCCAGUGUGGCAGGCCGCCGUACUUGCCCAUUGCCAUCUGCAUCUUGAUCUCGUCCACGACGUCCAAGUUUUGCACUGCACUAUGGACAAAAUAGUGCCCAUUAGGUUUUCCAUGUGAAUUGGCCCAAGGUACAUUCAACUUAUUUUGGCUGGCUUGGUCCCAUAGUUUGAACCCAGAUUUUGGAUCUUUCCGCAUUUAAAUUGGUGCUGCUGCUGCAUUUAUUUGAUAAUGGUUCAAGAUAUGGAACCAUACCACAAAGGUAACUCAUCAUUAAUUUAGAAGGGUGCACAGAUUCAUGUAAUAAAUAAUCUACACCACCUAAGAUGUGUCUCUACCUCUAUAUAAACAAGAGCAAUCAAAGCAAUAUGUGCAUACUGGAACAAAAUAUCUACAGGCAUACCAAUAGUGUUCCUUUUCAUACGGCAGUGAUCAAGAGCAACGCAGUGAGGUCUAUGUGUGCUGCACUUUGCAUUCUUUUGAUAAUGUCUUCAGCCCUCUCAGAGCUGGUGGAAGUUGUGUAUCUAACUGCUUUUCUACUUCCCAUGGUUUCAUUAUAUUCGUGGGGUUUACUAGGUGCGAUGUGGAUUUCAUGCACAUGAUCACGCUGAGUGUGACCCUAUGGACUGAUGCACUGAUCCGAAAUGCGAGGAUGAAUGUCAGAACAAAAAUAUUGACCUACCUAUUGAACCUGAGUGCACCACACCUAAGGAGUGUUGCUGCACAUUUUAUCGGGAGGAAGAUAAUUCACUUCUUUGAAUAGAUUAAAAUGGUUGCCGAUGGCUAGAUUAAUUUCAUGGAUGCAGCCGAUACCAGAAUACUACGCUUGCAUGUAAUGCAUCCAUAAUAUGUUUCUACCCAAAUCUAAUAAAAUAAAUGUGUCCCAUUUGUCCUCUUUUCCUCUAGUGUUUUUUUACUCCCAAAUUCCAUGCUAAUAAAUGCUGUAUACAUGAUUUUAUUUUAAAAGCAUUUCUGAAUACAUUUAAUUUGAUAAGUUCAAACACCGAGUGAGUCUUCUAUCUAUUGUAGGCUUAUGUUUAGUGAAGUGUGCCGGGCCUACUACUUCGGUGUUGGGCUGAGCCCACAUGAGAGCAGCUCCAGCGUUGCUCUUUUGAGGGUGCUCCAAGGAGAGAGAAAAAUAUUCUCCGGCAGCUUCACGCUGGAUCAGAGGGUGCUAGGGAGGUGCUAGGGAGCAGCUGAUGAUGAGUUUUGCACCAGGCGCUACGCAUUCAAUAUAUUUUCUGAAGUAACGUGGUUGGAUGGAUAGUUGAGAUAGUGGGAAACAAAUGCAGAUGCGCUAAUGACCAUCAAUCCGAGGACUCCGCCACCCAUGCACUUAGGUAAAAAAAUUCCUCAACCACUUUCACCAAGCACUGAGAUGCCACUGCAACCGAAACAUAUGCCGUAGACUUUUGGAGCAUAGCCCAUGUACGAAGCUAGUGGAUAACUGUAAAGAUAACCUGCAUUGGAUGAGAUAAGGGUUUGUUUUCAAAUACCAUAGCAUUCUUGCAGAGCAACAAUAACAACAUAGUAGCAAUCACCCCAAGUAAAUAAUGCCCGUCAACCAAGUGCCAAAAAUAUUUUCUAGGCUAAGGGGCUUGAGAAAGACUUCAGGUGCAAACAUAUCCGUAUUAUCCUCACUGAAUGGUCAUAAGUGUUUCCCUUCGGUUGCCGACACAAGACAUCCGACGGGGAAGGGUGACUAACGCCACUACCUGGUAAACUAAGUAUGCUGGAACUUGUCCACUAAGGUUAUAGUCUAGCUAACUCAGCAUGGGUGCCCAUAUUUCUUAAUUAUGUUUCCGUUGGUUGAUAACAUACCCAUCGGCAUCCUAUCGUCAUGACUUAAUGAAUCCCAAUAUCUUCUAGACUAACGUUUACUUACAUGAGUAGGGUGUGUAUGCAUUUGUGGUUAACAGGUAUUUACUUUAAGGUCGGCUGGGCCGGCUUUCUCGAUGUGUCUAAUUAUGCUUAAGAAAAAGAACCACUAGUGGAAAACUCAGUUUUAGUCCCGGUUGCAGACACGCAUAGAUCUCAAAAAUCCAACCGGAACUAAUCAUUCAGACUGUAAUAAUAAAAUUUGUUUGAAAUCAAAUGCAUUGCAUUUAAAUUUUCAUGGGCAUUUAAACCUUUUUCAAAAUAAAUUAAUGAAUCAUAGGAGUUCGUUGUUGCAUUCACGAUGGUGCAUUAUUUUUGGUUGCUUGAAUUCAAAUUUGUGUUUGAAUUCAUUUGUUUGACUCUUUUAAACAAAUAGGAAACCCUUUUCUUUUCUUCCUUUCAGCCUAUUUCUUUCUUUGGGCCCACUUCCUUCUCUUUCGCCCAGCAGCAAAACUGAAUAUGCACUUUGAAGAUAAACAUGCGAACCAUCAAAGGGCAGCAGACAACUUAAAUACGCGACGGAGCAUUGUAAAUGGCAGAGUAGCCUUGCUGCCACGAUCCACUGAGAUCCAGCCCCACAUCGCACGAAUUCCUCCCUCCCCCCUCCACCCCCGACAACGGCUUCAGGCUCGGACCCGCUACGACGACCAAGGACAAAUGCGCUCAAGGCUUGGGAAGAAAUUAACUUCCAUUGUCGGAACACUUGUUAAGGAUUACAAGAGACCAUAUCGCAAGUUUAUCUUCUUAGGUAUGGUCCACAAUGGAAGAGAGACCUCCUAACUUGACCAAGCCGAUGUACACACUACCAUUUGGCACCAAUCAGGCCAAGUCAGAUAGGUGCCAGUGGAGUUCCAUAUUCCACUACGUCCGCCAUGUAACUCAUAAUCGACCACCAGGGAGGGACAUGUGUGGGAUGGAUCGAAGACAAGACAAUGGCCAACACACGCGUGGACAUACCGGCCACAGGGUACGAUUACGUGUUUGUUGGACCCAACACAUGAAAAUAGCUGCGUUGGCCAUGAAAAUGUUUCCUAUAGGUCACACCUAGUGGCAUCAAAACCAUUUAGUGCCACUAACUGGUUGUGAUGAUUGAUGUCACAAACGGUUCUUUGUGCGUAGCCAGUUUAUAGCUGUAAUUCCAUCGAACCUGUUCUAGUACCUUGAACAACUGGUUCUUGAUGAGUAGCCAGGAGUGACGUUCCAUUUGUAACUAUUUAUUCUCUAUUAGUCUAAUGUUGUCAUAAAUGAUUUGCGUUGUCAGUUUAUAUAUGCACUUUGGCAGCCUGGAUGUAUGUCUUUUGAAGUAUGUGUAACUUUCUCUAGAAUUGAGGAACUUUAAUUGACUAAGUGGUCUUGGAUUUACAGCAUCAACCACUAUAAUUAGCCAUUGCUCCAAUGGCCCAUUUUUUCCGUUAAUGCUAUAUGAUCCGACACCAAUAUGUGUACAGACAUAAGAGCAUCUGACGAGUAUCAUUUUACGGUGAAGACAUUGGAUCCCCACUCGCAGUAACACAUUGCAAAUGCGAAAAGCAGGACCGGGUCUCCCCCUGCAAUAAAUGCCAUUUUAACUGGUCCUAUAAACUGUUUUCUAGUGGUGUGAUGUAGUCUGUUGGAAUCAGCACCGUGGAACCAUCUGACAUUCAUACAUUAGCUUCACCAAACAAAUAUUCUUCUGUGCAUUAAAGCUUCAUACUUCAACAUGUACAAGUUCUCUAUGUAGGAUAUUUCAGCUAGAAGAUCUUCCCUUUCUUGAACUAGCCAUUUGAGCAUUAUUCAUUCUCAGGCCCAUGGUUCCAACGGCUUGCACGUUCUUGGAAUGUGUUAUCAUGGAAUGCUAGGGGUAUCGAUUCGUAGACAAGAUGGAAUGUCGUCAAGAGCAAAAUAUCUGAAUCCAACUGUGAUAUUGCCUGUUUACAAGACACCAAAAAGGAGUUUUUUGAUGCUAGAUAUAUUAGGAAUUUCUAUCCCCCACAGUUAGAUUCUUUCGAUUUCAUCCCAUCUAUUGGCAACUCAGGGGGAACUAUUAUAGUGUGGAAUGGUUCCAAAUUCAAGGGGGAACCUAUCUUUCAAAAUCUUUAUGCCCACUUUGUAGAUUUUCAGUGCAAGCUAUCAGGGGAACGUUGGAUCCUCACGAAUAUCUACGCCCCAUGUACUCCGGAGGGGAAGCUAUCCUUUAUUGACUGGUUCAAAAGGGUUGAAAUACCAGAGGAAAAAAAUUGGCUAAUAGUUGGGGACUUCAACCUUCUUAGGAAGCCGGAUGACAGAAACAAUCAGGGGGAAACAAUCCGGGAGGAAAUGUUCAGGAAAUGCUUCUCUUCAAUGAAGCUAUUAGCAGGCUUAGGCUCAUAGAAAUUCAGCUCAAAGGAUGCAAGUACACUUGGUCCAACAAACAGCAGAAUCCUCUUCUGGAGAGGCACGAUUGGUUCUUCAUAUCUAACCCUUGGACCAUCUCCUAUCCCAAUACUUAUGCCUCAUCACUGUCCAGUGACUCCUCAUAUCAUGUUCCUUGUGUAGUCUCGAUCUCUAAUACCAUUCCAAGGCCACAAGUUUUUAGAUUUGAGAAUUAUUGGCUAGAACAUGAUCGGUUCCCAACCAUUCUCCAACAAGGUUGGGCAACUCCACUUCUAGGCACAGAUAGGGCAAAGAAUAUCGGGGCCAAGUUCAAAAACCUGAGGAAGGUUUUCAGGAUCUAGAAAGCAUAGCUCCCCAGUCUGGCGAAAGCAAUCCAGAGCACCAAAGACACCAUUCAACUCCUUGACAUCAUUGAAGAACUUAGAGAUCUUACCCUGCAAGAACGGAACUUUAGAGAAGUCAUCACAUCACAUCUGAAUAGCUUGCUCCACCAACAAAAAGUCUAUUGGUAGCAAAGAAGCUCCAUCAAUUGGGUCAAAAUGGGGGAUGAAUGUACAAAAUUCUGCCAUGCAAGGGCCUCAGUCAGAAAUAGAAUCAAUUAUAUCACUUCUUUAGUUGAUGCCAAUGGACAAAUUGUCUCUAAACAUGAAGCUAAAGCCAGGAUUCUUUGGGAAGCUUAUAAGGAAAGGAUGGGGAGAUUUGAAUUUACUCACAUGUACUUUGAUCUUUCUACUAUCUUGACAUCAGAUCCAAAUUUGGAAUGGCUAGAAUCUCUCUUUAUGAAAGCAGAGAUCGACACAAUUACAGGGGAACUUCCAAGUAACAAGUCCCAAGGCCCAGAUGGCUUGAAUGGAGAGUUUCUCAAGAGAUGGUGGGACUUGAUAGCUGAAGAUUUUUAUAGACUGUCUGAAGGUUUUCAUGACAUAAGUGUGUGUGUUCAGAGCAUGAAUGCUUCAUACAUCACACGAAUCUCCCUCCUAAACUCAACCAUCAAGCUAAUAACUAAAAUUCUAGCAGAAAGGCUACAACAGGUAAUCUUAAGACUAGUGCAUAAAAAUCAGUAUGGUUUCAUAAAGUCUAGAUCCAUACAAGACUGUUUAGCAUGGGCUUUUGAAUAUCUUCACAUUUGUAAAGCCUCAAAGAGAGAAUUAAUCAUCAGCAAGCUGGACUUUGAAAAAAGCCUUUGAUAGGAUUGAGCACCAAGCCAUUUUGGAUAUCUUAAAACAUAAGUGCUUUGGGACAGAUGGAUUGGGUGGAUAAAGGACAUUCUCAACACUAGAACAUCUUCAAUACUCCUCAAUGGUGUGCCAGGGAAAGUCUUUCAUUGCAGAAGAGGUGUCAGACAGGGGGAUCCUCUAUCCGCACUUCUAUUUGUUCUAGCAGCGGACCUUUUUCAGUCAAUCCUAAAUAAAGCCAAAGAGGAAGGAAGCUUACACCUACCGAUCCCUGAAAGAGCUGGACCUGACUUCCCAGUUAUACAAUAUGCAGAUGACACCCUUCUGGUCAUGGAAGCAGAUCCUUCCCAGUUGUUGCAUCUCAAGCAUCUGCUUAAUCGGUUUGCGGAGUCAACUGGUCUUAAAGUAAACUACAACAAGACUGUUAUGGUACCUCUGAACACUUCUGAGGAUAAACUCCGACAACUUUCGUCAAUGUUCGAUUGCCAAGUCGGAAGCUUGCCACUCACCUACUUGGGGCUACCACUUGGUGCAACAAAGCCUAACAUUGAGGAAUUCCUUCCAUUAAUACAGAAGGUGGAGCGAAGAUUGGGAGGCAUCUCUAACAUGUUAUCUCAAGGGGGCAAACUCGAACAGGUAAAUUCAGUCUUUUCUUCCUCACCAAUGUUUCAUAUGGCAACCUUAAAGCUUCACAAGGGGGUUAUCACACAAUUAGAUAAUUUUGGCAGCUGUGUAUAUUUAGAUGCAUAUAAACAUUUAUAAACCUAAAACAUUAAAAUGACCUGCAAUUAAAAAUGGAGGGGUAAAAAAGAAGGCCCCGACAAACGUGUCAGCACAUUCCUGCCUUUCUCCCCCCAAUGAGUAAACUCCAAUCCAAAAUUUGACUGUAUUUUGUUAACGGUUAUAUUUCAUAAGUUUGAUAACAAUACCCAGCUAGGGCUAAUGAUGAUAUGAAAUUGGCCACAAUUUUUGUUCUUGGGAGGUAUCUGUGAGGUGAGAAAAUGGGCAACAUGUGUGGAAAAUGCUAAUACGCCUACCGUGUGGCAUAUUUUGCGUUGUACCACAUACUUACCAAUACUGAUACAAGAUAUGCUCAAUACCCCUCAAUCCAACUUACCAAUACUGAUACAAGAUAUGCUCAACUUGUGAACUUAACUGAGGUAUAUGCUUUCUAUGUUCGUCCGUUCCAGCAAUUGUCUAAGGCAACGCGAAAUCCAGUUACUGUGGGCUAAUAACAACCUAUCUGUUGGUGUUUCUUGGUGUCUAUGGGUGUGCUUCUGAUUUGCAUGCUUUUUUUGUUUGUUGUGUGAUGAAAUAAGGCACUAUGUACAUCUUUGCUUAUUAUUUCCCACUGAUAUAUGGGUACGGACGUGUAAUCAUUAAUUGUGAUAUUCAUUCAGCUGACGACAGUCAGUUGACAUCACUUGAAAGUAUGCUUGAAUUCGUAAGGUGUCCCGUGCAAGUAGCGUGGCUACAACCGCGGCAAUAUUUUUUUCUGAUCAAAAUCGAUCGUCCUUUUUUGUUGAAAAGAUAAGUAUGAUAUACUUCACGUGGUGUUAGACUUGCAAAUUUUUGAGUGCAAUAUAUGAGUAAGUAUUCAAUACUAACAUUUUUUCUCUAAACAUUAACUACCAACAUAGCUUAUCAGAUAAUGCAGCAUUGUUUAUCCGACAUGCAUAACCACCUAACACUCAGACACUGAGACACACCAUCCAUUACCGUCACUGAAUCUAUGUCAGCGCGCUGAGCCAGGGUUAGGAACCUCCACUAACUCGUUAGAGGCAAACCCAAGAUCUAGACUGCUUCUGCUUAAUUCCCUCACUAGCUUAAUCCACUAUGAAAUGUAAAUGCACAACACUCUUAGCAAUUCGCUCAUAAGAUUCUUGAAUUUGGCAAAUUUUUGGUGCAAUCUUCACUGCGAGAAAAACGACCUUUUGUCCAACAUAUUAGUACCGGCCACAUUUCAACCCGGUACUAAUACCAACAUUAGUAUGGGAUCCAAUUUAGUAGCCACCGGAGACCUUUUAGUACCAGGUCAUAACACCACCCAAUACUAAAAUGUUGAAGAUAGGUUGCCAACGAAAAGUUACUCUUACUGCUCUUUAGCUCUUGCUCUCUUGAAACUAUUAAUCUUCUAAUCUUUUGAACAACUAUCCUUCUAUUUGAAGCAAUCAUCGGCACAAACAUAUAAGCAAACAAAAAAAGUACAAUUAAGAACAAUACACCAAAACAAAAAAAAGCUUUAAAAGAGUAUAAAGGAUAUGGCUCAAUUCUAAGAUCGCGAGGAUGUAAGAAACACUUAAAACCAAACUAAGGUUGAAAAGACAAAGCUAUUGAGAGAUUUGAAUUAUAAAAGAAAAAGAAAAGCCUACAUGCUUCAUAUAUUUUAAUAAAGAAAACAAUGUAAAGAUAUUUUAGACAAACAUCCUUAUCAAGUUAUAUUUAUAUAUGAAAAGAUCAAUGUAGAACUUCGUCAAAUUUUUAUUUAUAAACAUUAAAGUACAAUUUAGGAAAAUUAAACAUUUAAUUUGAAAAUAAAGUAUAGGUAAACAUCUAAGCGCAUAACUUUAUGAUUCAGGUUGAACUAACCAAAUAUAAUUAAAAAAACACAUUUCUAUUUAUAUUUGUCAAAAUAAAAUUUAAUAAAUAAAACUUGAGAUAUAACCUAUGUAGCUUUUAUUUAUAAAACAAAAUCAAGACACAUUAAUCAAGUUGAGUUUAAUUGAUGAAAAGCUGAGGUAUAUCUCUAAUUAGCUUUUAGUUGGAAGAGUUGCUUAAAUAAGCAUUAACCAAAUUUACAUUAGUUAUCAAAAUACGAGGUUGAACUUUAAUUAGAUUUUAAUUAGAAAAGCAAGUAUAUAAAUACUUAAUCAUAUUAAUAUUUUAAAUAAAUUAUAAAAUAGGGAACAUGAUUAACAUUGCUUCUAACACAUUGUGUUAAGUUGAUAUGAAUCUAACGCAAUAAGAACGAGGUUAAACGGAGGUAAAACAUGGAAUCUAUGGAUUAAACAAGGUUCUAAGGAUCUAAAUAGAAUUAACUAUAGAUCUCAGGGGCUAGCAGAGAAGAUUCACAAGACAUGGAAAUGUGCUUCAAAAAGGCUGAAAGAUCAAGGUUAGAUUCAUAAAUGGAGCUUGGGUUGGACUAGGUUGUAGGAACCUCAUCUAACCAGGGGGUUCUAUGUAAGAGCCGCAAGACUCAAGGAACAAGCUAAACCAUUAAGUGGACCUUCGAGGGUCUAGAUGCAAAAAGCUCAGAGCUUUCUUCCUCAUGGCCGACGGUAGCUUGUACAGCCAAAUCACUGGCGCUACGGGCGGCUGGGGUCUCCGGCGGACGGCACAGGAGCUGGAGGAGGUCCAGGGGAUCUAGUGGAGGCUCUUACCGGUGGCGGAGGUGAAGGGGGCCGGCCGAAAUUCGGAGGCGACAAUGACCGCAGCGGUGGCUCGGGCUCCGCGUGGUGGCAACGCUCCGGUGAUGGAGGGGCGUCGAGGGCUGGCGUCAGUUCUUCGUCUUGGCGCAGGGACACUCCAGGUGGCAUCAGCAUGCUCCAGUUCGAACGUUAACCGCGACAAAACAGGCGGCCAACUCCUACGGCACUUCGGCUCUGGCGAUCGACGGCGCACGGCGCUGCGUGAGCAGGCAAGGUGAGGCGCAGGGCGAGGGAGGAAGAAGGGACGACGCGGAGCCUCAAGCUUGCUAUUUAUAGGGGCGUGGGAGGUGUGCCUUGGAGUGGCGCGCACGAUGAGGAAACGACGGCAGUGGCGCAGUCCGCUUGGUGGCUGGGCUUAGAAGGGCCAAGCUGGGCCAACUAGCGGCGGACAGGUCUCAGCGGGCUGACGCGAGUCAAGCCCACAGCCUCGGCCCAAACUGAUAGGAUAGGUUUUUUUAUUAUUUUUAGAAAAUAAUUUCCUGUGGAAGGAAAAUCCAGAUAAAUCAAGAUAAUUCAAUAAAACCUACAAAAAAUACUCUAAAAAUGCCCAAAAAUUUCAGAAAAAAUCCUAGUGGUAGAUUGGGACACGAGGAAUCCAAAUAAAAUACUUGGAGCCCAUGAAAAAGGAAUUAGAGCCUUCUACUAAAUAGAUUUAUUUCUAGGAAAAUGAGAAUAAAUACCAGAAAGAUCUAGAAAAUUCUGAGGAGAAUUUGGUCGUCGUCUAAAUGCAUUUUUGAAACUUUUUCACUCAUAAAAUACUAUAAUGCAUCGGCAGGAAUGCAAAACACGUAGAAACAUUUUAUUUCUUUCAAAAUCAAUCAAUUGUUUUCCUAUACUACAUUUCCUGUCAAAAAAAUAAAUGUUGAAAUUUUUUUAAAAUUAUGAGAAAAUCAUUGUUUAAUUAUUAUUUUUAUUUAAUCACAUCCUAAAAUCUAAAAAUUUCAGGGUGUGAAUAAUCCACCCCUAUAAAUCCAUUUUUAGAGGUGGAUGAAUUGCUACAGUAACACCUAUUUUUUGGUUGGGGGGAUUUCUCAUCCAGCCAAAAAAAAUCAAGUGACACCUAAAAAUCAUUUUUUAGUAGUGAUCGUACACGCGCUUCACUGCCAUGAACGCCGCCAUGCAUACCGAUCAACCAGCCGUCGGCGCCAUAGAUGGUGGCAUUCCGGUUCUUUCCCCAGUGUGGCAGGCCGCCGUACUUGCCCAUUGCCAUCUGCAUCUUGAUCUCGUCCACGACGUCCAAGUUUUGCACUGCACUAUGGACAAAAUAGUGCCCAUUAGGUUUUCCAUGUGAAUUGGCCCAAGGUACAUUCAACUUAUUUUGGCUGGCUUGGUCCCAUAGUUUGAACCCAGAUUUUGGAUCUUUCCGCAUUUAAAUUGGUGCUGCUGCUGCAUUUAUUUGAUAAUGGUUCAAGAUAUGGAACCAUACCACAAAGGUAACUCAUCAUUAAUUUAGAAGGGUGCACAGAUUCAUGUAAUAAAUAAUCUACACCACCUAAGAUGUGUCUCUACCUCUAUAUAAACAAGAGCAAUCAAAGCAAUAUGUGCAUACUGGAACAAAAUAUCUACAGGCAUACCAAUAGUGUUCCUUUUCAUACGGCAGUGAUCAAGAGCAACGCAGUGAGGUCUAUGUGUGCUGCACUUUGCAUUCUUUUGAUAAUGUCUUCAGCCCUCUCAGAGCUGGUGGAAGUUGUGUAUCUAACUGCUUUUCUACUUCCCAUGGUUUCAUUAUAUUCGUGGGGUUUACUAGGUGCGAUGUGGAUUUCAUGCACAUGAUCACGCUGAGUGUGACCCUAUGGACUGAUGCACUGAUCCGAAAUGCGAGGAUGAAUGUCAGAACAAAAAUAUUGACCUACCUAUUGAACCUGAGUGCACCACACCUAAGGAGUGUUGCUGCACAUUUUAUCGGGAGGAAGAUAAUUCACUUCUUUGAAUAGAUUAAAAUGGUUGCCGAUGGCUAGAUUAAUUUCAUGGAUGCAGCCGAUACCAGAAUACUACGCUUGCAUGUAAUGCAUCCAUAAUAUGUUUCUACCCAAAUCUAAUAAAAUAAAUGUGUCCCAUUUGUCCUCUUUUCCUCUAGUGUUUUUUUACUCCCAAAUUCCAUGCUAAUAAAUGCUGUAUACAUGAUUUUAUUUUAAAAGCAUUUCUGAAUACAUUUAAUUUGAUAAGUUCAAACACCGAGUGAGUCUUCUAUCUAUUGUAGGCUUAUGUUUAGUGAAGUGUGCCGGGCCUACUACUUCGGUGUUGGGCUGAGCCCACAUGAGAGCAGCUCCAGCGUUGCUCUUUUGAGGGUGCUCCAAGGAGAGAGAAAAAUAUUCUCCGGCAGCUUCACGCUGGAUCAGAGGGUGCUAGGGAGGUGCUAGGGAGCAGCUGAUGAUGAGUUUUGCACCAGGCGCUACGCAUUCAAUAUAUUUUCUGAAGUAACGUGGUUGGAUGGAUAGUUGAGAUAGUGGGAAACAAAUGCAGAUGCGCUAAUGACCAUCAAUCCGAGGACUCCGCCACCCAUGCACUUAGGUAAAAAAAUUCCUCAACCACUUUCACCAAGCACUGAGAUGCCACUGCAACCGAAACAUAUGCCGUAGACUUUUGGAGCAUAGCCCAUGUACGAAGCUAGUGGAUAACUGUAAAGAUAACCUGCAUUGGAUGAGAUAAGGGUUUGUUUUCAAAUACCAUAGCAUUCUUGCAGAGCAACAAUAACAACAUAGUAGCAAUCACCCCAAGUAAAUAAUGCCCGUCAACCAAGUGCCAAAAAUAUUUUCUAGGCUAAGGGGCUUGAGAAAGACUUCAGGUGCAAACAUAUCCGUAUUAUCCUCACUGAAUGGUCAUAAGUGUUUCCCUUCGGUUGCCGACACAAGACAUCCGACGGGGAAGGGUGACUAACGCCACUACCUGGUAAACUAAGUAUGCUGGAACUUGUCCACUAAGGUUAUAGUCUAGCUAACUCAGCAUGGGUGCCCAUAUUUCUUAAUUAUGUUUCCGUUGGUUGAUAACAUACCCAUCGGCAUCCUAUCGUCAUGACUUAAUGAAUCCCAAUAUCUUCUAGACUAACGUUUACUUACAUGAGUAGGGUGUGUAUGCAUUUGUGGUUAACAGGUAUUUACUUUAAGGUCGGCUGGGCCGGCUUUCUCGAUGUGUCUAAUUAUGCUUAAGAAAAAGAACCACUAGUGGAAAACUCAGUUUUAGUCCCGGUUGCAGACACGCAUAGAUCUCAAAAAUCCAACCGGAACUAAUCAUUCAGACUGUAAUAAUAAAAUUUGUUUGAAAUCAAAUGCAUUGCAUUUAAAUUUUCAUGGGCAUUUAAACCUUUUUCAAAAUAAAUUAAUGAAUCAUAGGAGUUCGUUGUUGCAUUCACGAUGGUGCAUUAUUUUUGGUUGCUUGAAUUCAAAUUUGUGUUUGAAUUCAUUUGUUUGACUCUUUUAAACAAAUAGGAAACCCUUUUCUUUUCUUCCUUUCAGCCUAUUUCUUUCUUUGGGCCCACUUCCUUCUCUUUCGCCCAGCAGCAAAACUGAAUAUGCACUUUGAAGAUAAACAUGCGAACCAUCAAAGGGCAGCAGACAACUUAAAUACGCGACGGAGCAUUGUAAAUGGCAGAGUAGCCUUGCUGCCACGAUCCACUGAGAUCCAGCCCCACAUCGCACGAAUUCCUCCCUCCCCCCUCCACCCCCGACAACGGCUUCAGGCUCGGACCCGCUACGACGACCAAGGACAAAUGCGCUCAAGGCUUGGGAAGAAAUUAACUUCCAUUGUCGGAACACUUGUUAAGGAUUACAAGAGACCAUAUCGCAAGUUUAUCUUCUUAGGUAUGGUCCACAAUGGAAGAGAGACCUCCUAACUUGACCAAGCCGAUGUACACACUACCAUUUGGCACCAAUCAGGCCAAGUCAGAUAGGUGCCAGUGGAGUUCCAUAUUCCACUACGUCCGCCAUGUAACUCAUAAUCGACCACCAGGGAGGGACAUGUGUGGGAUGGAUCGAAGACAAGACAAUGGCCAACACACGCGUGGACAUACCGGCCACAGGGUACGAUUACGUGUUUGUUGGACCCAACACAUGAAAAUAGCUGCGUUGGCCAUGAAAAUGUUUCCUAUAGGUCACACCUAGUGGCAUCAAAACCAUUUAGUGCCACUAACUGGUUGUGAUGAUUGAUGUCACAAACGGUUCUUUGUGCGUAGCCAGUUUAUAGCUGUAAUUCCAUCGAACCUGUUCUAGUACCUUGAACAACUGGUUCUUGAUGAGUAGCCAGGAGUGACGUUCCAUUUGUAACUAUUUAUUCUCUAUUAGUCUAAUGUUGUCAUAAAUGAUUUGCGUUGUCAGUUUAUAUAUGCACUUUGGCAGCCUGGAUGUAUGUCUUUUGAAGUAUGUGUAACUUUCUCUAGAAUUGAGGAACUUUAAUUGACUAAGUGGUCUUGGAUUUACAGCAUCAACCACUAUAAUUAGCCAUUGCUCCAAUGGCCCAUUUUUUCCGUUAAUGCUAUAUGAUCCGACACCAAUAUGUGUACAGACAUAAGAGCAUCUGACGAGUAUCAUUUUACGGUGAAGACAUUGGAUCCCCACUCGCAGUAACACAUUGCAAAUGCGAAAAGCAGGACCGGGUCUCCCCCUGCAAUAAAUGCCAUUUUAACUGGUCCUAUAAACUGUUUUCUAGUGGUGUGAUGUAGUCUGUUGGAAUCAGCACCGUGGAACCAUCUGACAUUCAUACAUUAGCUUCACCAAACAAAUAUUCUUCUGUGCAUUAAAGCUUCAUACUUCAACAUGUACAAGUUCUCUAUGUAGGAUAUUUCAGCUAGAAGAUCUUCCCUUUCUUGAACUAGCCAUUUGAGCAUUAUUCAUUCUCAGGCCCAUGGUUCCAACGGCUUGCACGUUCUUGGAAUGUGUUAUCAUGGAAUGCUAGGGGUAUCGAUUCGUAGACAAGAUGGAAUGUCGUCAAGAGCAAAAUAUCUGAAUCCAACUGUGAUAUUGCCUGUUUACAAGACACCAAAAAGAAGUUUUUUGAUGCUAGAUAUAUUAGGAAUUUCUAUCCCCCACAGUUAGAUUCUUUCGAUUUCAUCCCAUCUAUUGGCAACUCAGGGGGAACUAUUAUAGUGUGGAAUGGUUCCAAAUUCAAGGGGGAACCUAUCUUUCAAAAUCUUUAUGCCCACUUUGUAGAUUUUCAGUGCAAGCUAUCAGGGGAACGUUGGAUCCUCACGAAUAUCUACGCCCCAUGUACUCCGGAGGGGAAGCUAUCCUUUAUUGACUGGUUCAAAAGGGUUGAAAUACCAGAGGAAAAAAAUUGGCUAAUAGUUGGGGACUUCAACCUUCUUAGGAAGCCGGAUGACAGAAACAAUCAGGGGGAAACAAUCCGGGAGGAAAUGUUCAGGAAAUGCUUCUCUUCAAUGAAGCUAUUAGCAGGCUUAGGCUCAUAGAAAUUCAGCUCAAAGGAUGCAAGUACACUUGGUCCAACAAACAGCAGAAUCCUCUUCUGGAGAGGCACGAUUGGUUCUUCAUAUCUAACCCUUGGACCAUCUCCUAUCCCAAUACUUAUGCCUCAUCACUGUCCAGUGACUCCUCAUAUCAUGUUCCUUGUGUAGUCUCGAUCUCUAAUACCAUUCCAAGGCCACAAGUUUUUAGAUUUGAGAAUUAUUGGCUAGAACAUGAUCGGUUCCCAACCAUUCUCCAACAAGGUUGGGCAACUCCACUUCUAGGCACAGAUAGGGCAAAGAAUAUCGGGGCCAAGUUCAAAAACCUGAGGAAGGUUUUCAGGAUCUAGAAAGCAUAGCUCCCCAGUCUGGCGAAAGCAAUCCAGAGCACCAAAGACACCAUUCAACUCCUUGACAUCAUUGAAGAACUUAGAGAUCUUACCCUGCAAGAACGGAACUUUAGAGAAGUCAUCACAUCACAUCUGAAUAGCUUGCUCCACCAACAAAAAGUCUAUUGGUAGCAAAGAAGCUCCAUCAAUUGGGUCAAAAUGGGGGAUGAAUGUACAAAAUUCUGCCAUGCAAGGGCCUCAGUCAGAAAUAGAAUCAAUUAUAUCACUUCUUUAGUUGAUGCCAAUGGACAAAUUGUCUCUAAACAUGAAGCUAAAGCCAGGAUUCUUUGGGAAGCUUAUAAGGAAAGGAUGGGGAGAUUUGAAUUUACUCACAUGUACUUUGAUCUUUCUACUAUCUUGACAUCAGAUCCAAAUUUGGAAUGGCUAGAAUCUCUCUUUAUGAAAGCAGAGAUCGACACAAUUACAGGGGAACUUCCAAGUAACAAGUCCCAAGGCCCAGAUGGCUUGAAUGGAGAGUUUCUCAAGAGAUGGUGGGACUUGAUAGCUGAAGAUUUUUAUAGACUGUCUGAAGGUUUUCAUGACAUAAGUGUGUGUGUUCAGAGCAUGAAUGCUUCAUACAUCACACGAAUCUCCCUCCUAAACUCAACCAUCAAGCUAAUAACUAAAAUUCUAGCAGAAAGGCUACAACAGGUAAUCUUAAGACUAGUGCAUAAAAAUCAGUAUGGUUUCAUAAAGUCUAGAUCCAUACAAGACUGUUUAGCAUGGGCUUUUGAAUAUCUUCACAUUUGUAAAGCCUCAAAGAGAGAAUUAAUCAUCAGCAAGCUGGACUUUGAAAAAAGCCUUUGAUAGGAUUGAGCACCAAGCCAUUUUGGAUAUCUUAAAACAUAAGUGCUUUGGGACAGAUGGAUUGGGUGGAUAAAGGACAUUCUCAACACUAGAACAUCUUCAAUACUCCUCAAUGGUGUGCCAGGGAAAGUCUUUCAUUGCAGAAGAGGUGUCAGACAGGGGGAUCCUCUAUCCGCACUUCUAUUUGUUCUAGCAGCGGACCUUUUUCAGUCAAUCCUAAAUAAAGCCAAAGAGGAAGGAAGCUUACACCUACCGAUCCCUGAAAGAGCUGGACCUGACUUCCCAGUUAUACAAUAUGCAGAUGACACCCUUCUGGUCAUGGAAGCAGAUCCUUCCCAGUUGUUGCAUCUCAAGCAUCUGCUUAAUCGGUUUGCGGAGUCAACUGGUCUUAAAGUAAACUACAACAAGACUGUUAUGGUACCUCUGAACACUUCUGAGGAUAAACUCCGACAACUUUCGUCAAUGUUCGAUUGCCAAGUCGGAAGCUUGCCACUCACCUACUUGGGGCUACCACUUGGUGCAACAAAGCCUAACAUUGAGGAAUUCCUUCCAUUAAUACAGAAGGUGGAGCGAAGAUUGGGAGGCAUCUCUAACAUGUUAUCUCAAGGGGGCAAACUCGAACAGGUAAAUUCAGUCUUUUCUUCCUCACCAAUGUUUCAUAUGGCAACCUUAAAGCUUCACAAGGGGGUUAUCACACAAUUAGAUAAAUAUAGGAAACACUAUCUCUGCAGAGGAUCUAAUUUGAAUUCUAGGAAACCCUCCAAGGCAGCUUGGCCUAUGGUGUGCCUACCAAAACAGCAAGGAGGACUUGGGGUUAUUAACCUGAACAGUCAAAAUGAUGCCCUUCUUCUCAAGUUCCUACACAAGUUCUUCACCAGAGCUGAUACUCCCUGGGUUCAUUUAUUCUAGGAUAACUAUUAUUCUAAUGGGAAACUGCCUGGACAGCACAAAAAGGGCUCAUUCUGGUGGAGAGAUGUAGUCAAGCUACUGGACAAAUACAAAGGAAUAGUGUCGGCAUGGGUAUCGGAUGGCUCUACUGUAUUGUUCUGCAUGGACACAUGGAUUGAGCAGGUCCUCUACCUGGAAUUCCCCCAGUUAUUCUCUUAUGCCAAAAACAAACUGGUAUCAUAUAAGGAGGCUACAAGCAGAAUAUCACUGUCUCAAAAUUUUCACCCACCACUCUCAGAAGAAGCUCAUCAGCAGUUGCUGAUUCUGCAGAAUAGAUUGAGGAAUACUGUGAGAGCUCAAGGCAGAGAUAAGUGGACUUACAUUUGGGGAAGGCCCCCGCUUUUCGGUAGCAAAAACUUAUAAAGUCAUAACGGGCACAAGAACCAUACAUCCAAUUCAUAGAUGGAUAUGGAAAUCUAAAUGCCAAAAGAAGCACAAGAUAUUUUUCUAGCUAUUAAUUAAAUUCAGACUGAGCACCAAAGACAUUCUAAGCAGAAAAACAAUGUAUUUGGAUACUUAUACUUGUGUGCUUUGCAUCCUCCAGGAAAAGGAGACAAUGCCGCACUUAUUCCUGAGAUGCAACUUCUCGAAAGCUUGUUGGAGCACUUCCUCCAGGCCACCCUUUCGGAUUUUUAACUCAAUCAAGGAUAAACUGAACGUUCCCUUCUACAUGGAGAUCAUCAUUUUAAUGGCCCGGAGCAUUUGGUCCGUGAGGAAUGACUGGACCUUUCAACAAUGUCCCCCCUCGGUACAGAGCUGCAAAAGGAAAUUCAUGGAAAAAAUGAAUACCGUCUGUCUACAUAGAGCGAAAUCUUCCCUAGCUCCUACCAUGAUGGAAUGGUUGUAAUCUUUUCUUUCUUUUUUCUUCCUUUGUUGUUGCCUUUUCUACCUUCUACUUCUGUUGUUUCUUGGACUCGCCUUUCAUUUAAUAUAUUUCAGUAGGAGCUUGCCCCUCCUGUUCCUUCAAAAAAAAACUUCGAGCACUUCUCCAUGGGCUUCAUCACCAUAGUUUCGAUUUGGGCAAUUUCAUUGCACCGAACCUUCCAGCUUGCAUUUUCUUAACUGAAUCUCGAGCAUGGGGCAAUAUUCUGGCAUCUACAACGGACCUGCCAUCAAGCAUUCCAAUGUAUAGAUCUAUCCUUUUUGUUUGCCUAAUAUUCGGAUGCAAUACUCCGCCGUGUGUAAAAAAAUCCAAGGCCAACGGACCAUACCGUGUUAACAAUUUUAGUGCCUAAUCCAAUACAAAAUUAGUCCCAGUUUGUACGGCUACUCAUUCAUUGCAGUCUUCAGACGAACUCUACGGUGACACAUUUUUGGAAUACUCUGGCAUGUGCAACUGACCUGCCAUCAAGCACUCCGAUGCAUGGUUCUAUCCUCUUUGGUUGCCUUAUAUUCUGUAAAAAAAAAUAUUCAAGGCCAACAGACCAUACCGUGUUAAAAAUUUUAGUGCCCAAUCCAAUACAAAAUCAGUUCCAGCACCUCCACAGUGAUUAUAUUGUAAUUCAAUCACCAAAAUCCGAAACUAUGGUCUAGUGAAGCUAUACUGUGUACGAAAUAUCAAUUCAUGGGAUUUGUCAACGAUUUUAUGAAGCUGUAUAUAUGAUACCUUCCACUACGGGAUUUGUGUACAAAAUAUUAAUUCAUGAGAUUUGUCCAUGAUUUUAGGAAGCUACAAUAUCUUCAACUACCGGAUUGCGUAUAUAAGAUAAUCUUCACCAGUUAUCACAGGUGGAAGCACGCGUUAAAUAAUAAAUGACUAAUGCUGAUUCAACUCUGAGAUGAAAAGGAUUCUGUUCUCAAGAAUCGAAAAAAAGGUAACGUGCUCAUAACAAUGUCGACUCUUCACAUCUGAGAACUACCUACCGUAUGUUAUUAAAACAUUUUUGCUGCCUAUAAAUUGGGCAUCAUUUCAGCAGGCCACCACGGCACCUGAGCUUGCCAUCUUUUCCUGCUCUAUCUCACUCAUUUGUCCCGUAGCUACUAGCUAAGCCACCAUAUCAUCCAUGGCUUCUGGUGCCUCCACCACGCUGAAGAUGGCCUCUAUCGCCGCUUGCAUCCUGCUGGUCCUGCUGUCCAAUGGCCACCCCACCGCGGCGGCCGUUGAUUGUAUUGCGGCUUGCAAAGAACCGUGCCAGGGUUUUUCUAACGGGCUCUGCGCGGGUGGAGCCACCAGCGGUUGUACGACUACGGCAGCAGCUACAGCAUGCCGCAAUUUGGCGUUCUCGCAGUGUGCGAACACCUGCUUCACAGUUUGCACUGCUGUGAGCAUCGCGCCUUGCACUUGAAGAUGCAUUCGUGUUCCUACUUCCACAUUAUUGUUACUGCAGAAUAAUAUGGGUCAGUGCACACAAGCAUACAUGAUGAGCCACUGUCGUUUUUCCAUUUUGUCAUUUACUUAUUGAAGGCAAUGUACGUUUUUCCAUUUGAUCAUUUACUUAUUGAAGGCAAUGUACGUGUCUAUCUCCUGUGUGGUUGAGCAUGUCAUCUUGGAAUUCUAUCCAAAGUUUUACAUACCACCUUGUAUUGUUGUGUGUGGGUAUCAAUAUAAUUUAUGAACUAUCUUCCUUUACCAUAGACAUAUCUAUGUUUAUUUGCAAGCGUUAGCUAAAUUUUUCCUUGAUUGUGUAUUAAUCCCAACUGAACAGAUCAACUUUCCACUGCAAGAAACUAUUUAAUCUGUGACGAAACAAAAUUGUCACAUAUCACUAAAAAAUCGUCAUAAAGCAAUGCCCGUGACGAUUUUAGAUAACGUCAUGUAUUGAGCGUCACAGAUUAAAUCGAUCGACGUUUUCUUCGAAAUCGUCACAGAUCAACACAAUCUAUGAUGUUUUUUACCUGUCACAAA
rnacentral:lncRNA from 1 species